rnacentral:lncRNA from 1 species
CUCCUUCUCUUUAGUGUAGAUAAUGUAGUAUGUUAAAAAAAUAAAAAUAAAAUAAAACCCUAUAGAAUCAACGAUUUCACACAAUACAUCAUUAAAGAUAAAUAAGAAUUAAUGACACCACUUUUAAUAAAAGAAAAACAUAAAAGAAUAUUACUACUUGGUAAUUAAGUGUACUUUUCUCACUCACCCUUUUCUUCCAAGAAAGAAUGCGUAACGUGGGGGAACCAUUUCCCUCUUUCUUAGGACACUUUAAUUUUAUUUAACCGCACAAGUCACAAUUGCUUGUACUUGAGAAUAGCUUGGCAUGUAUGUUAUCCAUUUGUAUCUUCAACUAGUUUAGUGGCUAUGAGACCCCACGAUUCUCAAUGUGAUCAAUAUCGUAAAGAACUUGUUCCCAAUCAAUCAGUAUCCGUACAAUUAUUGACAAAAAUGCAUCUCUAAACCAAUAACACGAUUACACGCAAGUUUUAAUGACCAAAGUGCCCUAUAAGUUUCAUAGUGUCAAAUCCGAUUGGAUCGAGUGUUACUGGAUAUUGACUAACAAGAUACUGAAGAAUCAAAUAAUUCUUGUUAACCAAUAAUUUCGAGGUAGUUAGUUACUUUCUUUUUUUUUCUUGUUUCCUUUGGCAGGAACAUCUGAUGUCGUACCCAUGUAUCCAUAUCCACUGGUUGAAGUGGUACUUGCAAGGGAGCAAUGAAUAUGAAUGUGAUUCUUUCUUCAGUUUUUUUUUUUUUUUUUUUUUGGUUAAACUGGGAAUUCUCAUAACCAGGGCACAAGCCAGUCUAAGUACAACUGAGGGGCAAGCAAAGAAAACAACAAGGGAAAUAAACAGAUAGAAUUUGGAGGAGGAGGGGAUAAAGGAUAAGACACCGCAAUUAUUGCAAGCAUCACCCCACCAACUCCUAAGCUAACAUAGUUAGGUGGGACGACAACACAGCACGUCCUUGUUCCGGAUAUGCACUCGUGAAGAUGGGGGUCGAUUGACCCACGUGCAAACACUCAUUUCCAGGAAAACGAAACCCUUUUCUCCAAAGACCACACAAGAUGAUCAGGCAUGUGGGGGUCCCCAAUAUGUGUUUUCUGAAUCUCAAUCAAUUCAUGUUGAGCAACAAAGGGAGUGAGGAAAUCCUACUCCCAAUUGUUAGAUUCAAUAUCAAUUAACAAGUUGACGCGGAGGUCCCGACUAACAGGAACGGAGCUACACAGGAUUGGGUGUCCAAGAGGCAGAGAAGGGAGCCAACGGUCGAUCCAUAGCCGAACACUCUCAUCAUUCAUCAUUUGUCAGUGGGCCCCCUGUAACAGUAUUUCUCGAGCCUCAAGUAGGCUUGCCCAAGAGCUUGCCCUUAAUAUACGUCAGGGCCUUUUUUUUUAUCUGCCCUAGAUAAACGGAAGCUCAAGGUACAUGACAGGGUCAGAGACAAUCAGAAUUAGGGCUGGGUACGGGCCGGACUGGGCCCAUUUUUGAAGGGACCGGACCAGACCCGGAAUUAAAGGAGACGGGGCGGGCCGGGCCGGGCAUUACAAUUCUGAAAAUAGGAACCGGACCUUACCCGGCCCGGUUGAAACGGGCCGGUUCGGUCCGGGUACACGGGUCCUUUUUUAUUUUUAUUUUUUUUUCCUGUUUAAAAAUGUUUGCUGCACACAGAUUGCAAUUUGAAAAAACUGCACAGAUUGCAGUUUUUACACAUAACAGAUUUCACAUAUUGCAGUUUGAAAAAACUGCACAGAUUGCAGUUUGAAAAAACCGCACAGAUUACUGCACAGAUUGCAGUUUCUCAAACUGCACAGAUUGCAAUUAAAAACUGCACAGAUUGCAAUUAAAAACUGCACAAAUUGCAGUUUUUUACUGCACAGAUUGCAGUUUGAAAAAACUGCACAAAUUGCGGUUUGCAUUUUGCAGUGCACAGAUUGCACAGAUUGAAAAAAAACUGCACAAAUUCCACAAAUUUCACAGAUUCCACAUUCCACAGAUUGCAGUUUGAAAAAGCUGCACAUAUUCCACAAAUUGCAGUUUGAAAAAACUGCACAGAUUGCAGUUUGCAUUUUGCAGUGCACAGAUUGCACAGAUUGAAAAAAAAUACGAGCAAAGAAGCUACAGCAACCAUUAUAGUUAAGUAUAGUAAUUCUUUAGUAGCCCAGACGGGUAAACAAUCAUAUCAUAGAAACUUGCUAAUAAACAACACAAUGAAUCAAAACCAUUGAUACAACUCACAAACGUAAUCUUUAAUGUUCACUCUAAAUACACUAAAAAAUUCUGCUCUUUAUACAGAAAUCAAAUUUGUCAAUGUUGUGGAAUUGUAACAAACAAUUAGUUAUGCAAUCUAAACUUGCCAAUUAAUUAAAAAUCGCAGAUUAGGCAAGGGAAAAUGUAAUAAUCAGCCAAUUCGAUAACGGUAUUUAACCGGCUUGAAACUGUUUACCAAUCAACACCAGAAACCCCACAAUUAUGCUUCUGGAUAGAUGCUGCAAAUCACUAACAUUUUACGGUUCUCAUAUCCCAAAACCGAAAAGGCUAAUUCCGAUUCUUUUUCCAUUCUCUCAUUUUCCUGCAUUUUCUCAGCAACCAAACACUGCCUAACGGCAUUCCAAAAACUACACAAAAACAAUUUGACAUUUCUCAAGUUGCACAAUCCCAAUUUUGCCCAAAUGAGAAAUCAGAUGAAUUUUCGAUAGAAAAUGACGAAACAGAGAGAGAUACUUAUAUGCUAGAACGGCAAAGAUGAUGGCCCAAGGUUUGUACAGGGGAAACGACGACGUAUUGUGGUUCUCUGACUCGCUAGGGUUUCGAAGUGUGAAGAGUGGGGAAGGUGUGCACAGAGAGACUUCCAGUUCCUACUUCCUAGAGGUUUAUGGCGCGCUUGAUUUCCUCAAUUUUACGGCAGAGGUGGUGAUGGGGAUGAUGAUGUUGGUCACGACUCGCAACAGCGCUGUGAGAGUGGUGAGGUGAGCACUGUGAGUCGGAGUCGAGGGAAGGGAUAGGGAGAGGGAUAGGGAGAGGGACUCAGGGAGAUGGAGUCGAGGGAGAGUCUGAGUCUCUGAGAAUCUGAGAGACUAAGGUCUGAGGCUGCUGAGGCUGAUGAUGCUUCUGGAACUUGGGACUCGGGGAAGGUUGGUUGGCUAGGGUUGAAAGUUGAAAACUUGAACUGACGGUUAAGAUUGGAUGGAGAGAUGAUAUUAAAUCUCGUCCGUCCAAUCUAACACAAACUAGCCGAUCCGGGUACCUGCGAAUCCUAUAAUUUUGGAACCGGCCCGCCCCGCCCCGAUCUAUUUUUACAAAACUAAGAACCGGCCAGUACCCGCCCCGUACCCGUAUUACCCGCCCCUACCCACGGGUCCAAGACCCGUUUGCCCAGCCCUAAUCAGAAUACCCAAUAUAUUGUUGGAAAUAUGCCCUAAAACCAAUCAUAUGAUGAUACUUUACGGACAUUUCACAUGUUAAACUAAUCUAGUUUAAUAUAAAGGGCAAAAAUUAUUGUUUUAAGUCAUCUCAUAUAAAUGUUAUAUACUUAAAUGAUAAGUCCAAGGAAUAUGUAAUUGGGAGAAUGUGAUAUAAAGAAGUUAGAUUCAUGAGACCAUUCUCUUUCGUAUACAUAUCUUAAACGUUCCUGAUCAUAGGAUUGCCAAUUGGGCAUUGACGGUCCAUUAAGAUCAUUAUGUACUAUGUCUUCUCUUAAGGAGAGUGACUGGUCUUGAGUCAUUGGUGUGACUGACACCAAGACAAGCAUGUAGGUGCUCAAUAGAGAAUGAGUCCACUGAACACGAUCAACAAGGAGUUCUCAUACUCAUGUCACAUGAGAACUCAUGGUUAGGAUAAUGCAAAGUAGUCAUUUGACCUGAGGCAUCAUAGUUGUCUUAUGGUUAGGUCUUUGAUCUUUAACUAUGUCAAAGUCACUCCGUCAUGGGGUGUCCACAGUGUAGUUGGGCUUAAGUCACUUAGCCUUGGAGGCAAGUGAAUGCGCAACAAGGGAUCUCUGACCUUCAAACCGUUUGAGGGAGAAUACUCUAUAAUAUGAUUAAAAAUCUCUGGCCAGAGUAUGAAUGAGAUUUAGGAAGUCGUUCCAAAUCACAUUCAAGGUAAUCAUAUAAGUAAGAGAAUCACAUUGGAUAGUAGACAUAAAUAAACUAUCAAACCAAACAAUGUGGUCAAGAGUAUUGUAUUAGAGAAAGACUGUAUUGCAUUUCAAUCCUAAAUUGAAUAUGUUCUCCACCUAUUCUGAUUAGCUUGGGUAGCCAUGAUAUACUGCUAGGUGUCACUCAUGGUUUGUGGAAGCCCUAAAGGUGUGUAAUCACUAAAGAGAGAAUUGAAAGUAAGUUUCAAUUCACAAUCGAUUUGAAGAGUUCUAAUUGUCCACUGCCUCGCUAAAAGGAACCUAAUAGAUCGUAUACCGUGUAAGGUAGAGAUUGAAGAAAUAACGGAGAUGAGUAAGGAUAAUUAAAUGGUUUAAUUAUUUAUGGUUAGGAUGAAUUAAUAUGUUAAUUAAUCAAACGAAUAAGUUCGUUUUAGACCUUGGGUUAGUUUUGGGCCUUCAAGGCCCAAUGGGCUUCGAAUGUCAAGCCCAUUGACUUAAGUUGUAUGAAAACUUAAUGAAUAAAGAUUCAAGAGGGCCCAAAGACCAUAGAAGGCCGGCCAUAUUGAUGAAAUAGGGUUUUGGUUCUUUUUGUCACUUAAGUGAAGUGACUAUAUAAAGAACUUUAUAACCAAAAUUCAUUAAGGGUUCUUUUAGAGGAAAUUGGAUAGAACAAGUCUCUCCCUUUCUCUCUAGGAGGCCGGCCCCUUGGAGAAGAUUAGCUAGCAAUCUUCCCUCCUCCAAGGUUACUUAUCUCUUCUUCCAGGCUCUCCUUGGUGUGGAGACUUAGAGGUUCUCUAUUUUGGGAACUUGAAGAAUCCAUUAUACCAUCCUCAUCCAAGAAAUCCAUGGAGCUAAGAAGUACGGAAUGAAUGUCCUAUCUCUUUGGUGAUUAGCCUUUGCUUAUGCAAAGAGGAAUCAACAAAGGUAUAAUAUUUCUCAACUCACUUUGUUCUUGAGUUGAGUCUUGAUUCACCACACUCACUAGGAUUUGAAUUUCAUGGGUAAAGUUUUGUUUUUGAGUGCAUACAAGCAUGAUUCCGCAUUUAAUUGUUAAUUGCAUGUUGUAGAUGUUGCUCAAAUGAACUUGUUGUUACAAAUAUUUCCUUCAUAUAUCACAUAGGUGGUUACCGAUUGUCGUGGGAACAUUUGCUCUGAGAUAGACGAUGGACCCUAAAGGUUUAUUUGUUGCCCCGAAGCCUCACAGUAGGCGUUGAGGAUUUUGGUGAUGUUUUGGGCAUUUUUUUGGGGGGAGGGUGUGGGAGGGUAGCUUGUAGGAAAAUAAGGGUGUCAACCUCGAAUAACAGGUGCGAAAUACUAGGGCACUGCUGAUUAAAUUGUAUGUUUUUAAUAGAACCCUCUUACACCGCUCGUAUAUUCCUAGAAAGGACAUCAUUGAUGAUGAGAAACAGGUAUGGUGAUAGUGGGUCACCCUGCCGAAGGCCCCUAGAAGGGGAGAAAUGCCUACCCGGCUGACCGCUAACAAGAACUGCAAAGUCCACUGUAGAGACACAUGUCAUCUUAAGAGAAAUCCAUUGGUCAUUGAAACCCAUUUUUCGCAUGACAGCCUCCAAAAAUUCUCAUUCUACACGGUCAUAAGCCUUACACAUAUCAAGUUUGAUGGCAAAUUCGAACUUUCAUUUUUCCUUCCUCAAUUUCAGGAAGUGGAAAAUCUCAUGUGCCACCAUAAUGUUGUCCUAGAUUUGGCGUCCAGCCACAAAAGCAUUAUGCAUUGCAGAAAUAAUGCUAGAGAGUAAUGGUUUGAGGCGAUUUGCAAGGAUUUUUAAGAGGAUUUUGUAUGAAUAGUUAUAGAGGCUUAUGGGUCGGAAUUGGCCCACCGAACCGGGUUAGGCGAUUUUGGCACCAAAAUAAUGUGUAUAGAAUUAAGCUUUUUUGGGCUUGCAACCCCCGAGAAGAAAUCAGCAGCCUGCCCCAAAACCUCUUUGUAAAUAGUCUCCCAUGCGAAUGAAAAAAUACCUUUGGAACCCAUCCGGGCCCGGGGCUUUAAGCCCACCCAUUUGGAAGACCGCCUCCCAGAUUUCAAGCUCAGAGAUUGGCAUUCAUUUCCUCAUCCACCGAGCAUACAAUAUCAUCCACUACAGAACCCCAAUUCCGCGGUCAUUGGGAAGUGAAUUGUUUGAUAAAGUGGUCAUCAAUAGCGGAUCGGACCCGUGAGGGAUUAUCCGUCCAGCACGCAUUAAAAUUGAUUUGUUCCAGUUCCUCCCUCACUCCAUCCUUCCUGAUCACGCUCGACAUCGUUCCAAUUUAAUUUCCUUUCCCUAGAACCUAGAACCUAGAACCUUGAACCUUGGUUUAGGUUUCAGUUUCCACCCUGAAUCCGACGACUUCGGCAACGCCCUGCAUGCAUCGAGGUUGGUCUCAAACAAUUCCUCAUCAUCUCAAGUACUUUCUAGACCUAUUCAUGCCAAACUCUUCUUCAAAUUUGUGAUUUAAUAUAACGGAGUUUUAGUAAAUUUUUCACGGUUUUGUCGAAUUUCACGUUUAAAUUUCUGGGUUGUGAAGAAUUCUUCUUUUGAUGUCAUUUUAUUUGAGCAUUGUUGAGCAAUCUGGAUAGCGUCAUUUUGAUGAAAUUUCGCAUUUACUAAGACGUACUCCUGGGGAUUCAGUUGGAUUUAGAAAAUUAUUGUCAUUCGAAUUUGUUUUACAUCUGAUUCAGUUGGAUUUAGGGGUUGUGUAUUAGUGUUUCCUGGCCCGAGUUGGUCCUCGUCCUCCUCUCAUCCUCCUCUCAUCUUCUGCUCUGUUCUGUCUCCUAGUUUGUAUGGCUUUUCAAAUCCUCAAACGCACUCUUUCUUCAGCAAGAAAACCCAAACCCCUCUCUGUCUCCCGUUUCUCCUCCUCUUCUCCACCGUCCGAUCAAGCUCCAUCACAAACCAGCCCCCUAAUCUCCGACGUCGUUUCCAUCCUAACCCACCAGCGCUCCAAAUCCCGAUGGAGCUACCUUCACUCUCUCUACCCCAACGGCUUCAACCCGGACGACUUUUCCAAGAUUGCCCUCCACAUCAAAAACAAUCCCCGUCUUGUCCUCGCCUUCUUCCUCUGGACCCAACGCAAGUCCCUCUGCAACCACAACCUCCUCUCUCACUCCACCGUAAUCCACAUCCUCGCCCGAGCCCGGCUCAGGUCCCAAGCUUACGACCUUAUUCGAGCCGCCAUUCGGGUAUCCGACGAAUCUGAGCCUUUGAAAGUGUUUGAGAGUCUUGUCAAGACCUAUAGGCAAUGUGGGUCGGCGCCCUUUGUGUUUGAUUUGCUGGUCAAAGCUUGCUUGGAGUCGAAGAAAAUCGACCCAUCAAUCCAGAUUGUGAGAAUGUUGCUGUCUCGUGGGAUCAGCCCCGGAUUGAGCAUCUGCAAUGCUCUGAUUCGGCUUCUUUCGCAGCGUCGAGGUGCGUAUGCUGGUUAUGAGAUUUAUAGGGAGAUUUUUGGAUUGGAUUGUGAUGUUUUAGAUAAAAAGGUGAAAAGGGUUGCUAGAAUCAGCCCGAGUGUGCAAACUUUCAAUGCAUUGAUGUUGGGUUUUUAUCAGGAUGGUGUGGUGGAGAAGGUGAAGGAGAUUUGGGAUCAAAUGGCGGGUUUGAAUUGCUGUCCAAAUGGCUAUAGUUAUAGUAUUUUGAUGGCUGCUUAUUGUGAGGAAGAUAGAAUGAGUGAAGCAGAGGAGUUGUGGGAAGAAAUGAGAGCUAAGAGUGUGGUGCCUGAUGUUGUUGCUUAUAACACUAUGAUUGGUGGGUUUUGCAAAAUCGGAGAAAUUGAAAUGGCUGAAGAGUUUUUCAAAGAAAUGGGAUUGAGUGGAGUAGAGAGUACUUGUGCUACGUAUGAUCAUCUUAUUAUUGGGUACUGUAAAACAGGAAACAUUGAUUCUGCUAUGCUCUUAUAUAAGGACAUGCUUAGGAAAGAUUUCAGGCCCGAGUGUUCAACAAUGGAUGCAUUGAUUCAGGGGCUUUGUGAUGAGAGUAGGGUUUUAGAAGCAUUGAAUGUUAUGAGAGGUGCAACGGUAGAUUUUGGUUUUUGUUCGACCGAGAAGAGUUAUGAGACUCUGAUAAGAGGGUUGUGUGAGGAUGAGAAGUUGGAAGAAGCACUUAAGCUUCAGGCCGAGAUGGUGGGAAAAGGGUUUAAACCGAAUUCUGAGGUCUAUCAUGCGUUCAUUAGUGCGUAUAUGAAACAAGGGAACAAGGAAGUAGCAGAACGGUUGAAGAUAGAAAUGUUGGAUGCUCAGAUGUGUGGGAAUGGGGAUUAGAUGAUUUAUCAAUUUUAAAAGUGCAAAACAUUUUUCGGUACACAGUUGAAAACACAUGAACAUACUGCUGAAGGCGUACUCAGCAAGGUCGAUGGAUGUCGACUGGGACAAUAGGGGGAGGUUUGUAAUGAAUAUGCGUUUGGAAGAAGGACCAACAGUAUAUGUUUUCAAUUAUCAAAAUACUAAAUCAUGGAUAAAGUUAACAAGAUUGCAUGAGAGACUGAGUCUUGCCUUGAAUUCCCAACACUGAUACUCUCUCUUGAAGAGCUUGCGCUGGAAGGCUCUGCCUGUUGUCAAAAACCUAAGGAUGGCUGCAUUUAUUCCAAAAAUGUGCUUAUUCUAAGAUGGCUGUGUAGCCUGAUAGAGGGAUAUUGGGAAGCACUGAAAACGAGACCAAGAUCUUGGUGAAUCCUCACAAAAUCUUACAAAGAAAGAGUUCCCGAAGUUAUGUCUAGAUAGCAGGAAGGGUUUCCAUAGAUACUGGAGUGCUUAAAAUAAUGGGGAAAGCCAAGGCAGGUCUUGCUGCUUGCAAGGGUGAUGAACUGAACAUGAUAAUCGCUUUGUGCAGCCAGCAUACCAGGUUCUUAUAUUCUGCUCAUGAGCUGAGGUAGAUUGGUCAUACCAGGUUCUUAUAUUCUGCUAAUGAGCUGAGGCAGAUGGGUUAAAUUUUUGGAGUGUGAAGUCUGGUUCAGUUAAUAUCAACUAAACCUGAAAUCCUUUACCUGUAUCUGUAAUUUAUUAUCCAAAGCAAUACAAGCCGUCUCCCGGGUAUACCGGAUGAAGAAAAGCACUGUUGAGUUGUAAAGUUUUCAAUUUGUAUGGCAUGUAUUCAGCUUUUGUCAAGUAGGAAAGACCAGUAAAUGUAUGCUUAUUUUGUUUCUAAGUUGCCAGAAAUGGAUGAUGCUUUACUCUUGCUGUAAAACGAUUGGUCAUCAAGCUGUUGAGCGUUUAAACAUUGAAUGAAACUUUUAUUCAUGAUUUACAAUUGCUUGUGUAUGAUUUGAACACUAUCAAAUACAAGCCUAUGGUUUCAAAUAGUUUUGAGUCCGAUGUUCACAAAUGUCUGCAGAAGUCGAAGACAAGCUGUAUUCAUGUGAGAAGUCACAAGGACGGAAGUAACCAAAGAUUGAAAAAAGACGAAGCCAAAGACAGAAACCAUGACAUGAAGGCCAUCGCAGCCGAUAUUUUAUAUCGGCUGCAAAACUUUGGAGGGCAGUAUGGACCGUUAGCAUGGAGCAUGAUAUCCACAACGCUAGUCGUUGAGCAAGCUGCAGCUAGAGUGAGAAUGGAUAAUACCUGUUGAGAAAAAUGUUGAAUCAGUUACAAAAAGUUGGUGGUUGUGAGUGAGUCUGCAGUCCGCAAAGGGUGUACAUGUAUCAGAAUGGUGCUUACUGCUUAGUCUGCUUACCCAAUCUCCAACAACGAUGAUCAGCAGUAUUCCAGGCUGACGAAGAGGGCACUUCACGAGCACAGAGUAACCAUCCACCAAUGCCAAAGUGAAACUCCAAGGUAUGACCAGACCCAUGACUGUUACCAAAUAGCUGCAAUGUAAAACACGGGAGCAAUGUUAAAUGUUGAGCACUGCAUUAUUCGAGUUUGACAGAAAACACAGGAUUAAAAGGAAUCCAUCGUAUUCGUUUAAUUGGUUUUUUUUUUCUUUCAGGCUUGUUGCCCAUUAAUAAAAUUGUUAUUUAGCAUUUCAUUGGUUCAUUGACCAAUUUGAUAACUAGUGGCAGAUUUACAUUGGGAUUAAGGAGGUCCCAGGAUCACGCAGAGUUUGGGAAAUAUACUUCCAAGGACCUUCUAAAUAUUUGGUACAGGUCCCUUUUGUGUGUACCAAUUUUUUGAUGUUAUGCAUGCUAGGUAUAUAUCUCGACAGGUUGCGUCAACGGCAAUCGAUAAAUUCUCUCGAUAUCACUCAUCAAAUUGCUUUAGCAUAUGUCGAUAUCUGUUGACACUAGUACUUUAACAUUAGGACCCCCUAAAAUUCGAAUUCUGGUUCCGCCACUAUUGACAACCAAAACAACUUAGUUUUAUAUGAAUAAAAAAUUUCUGACUUGAUAACACUUGCAGAGUCAGGGGUCUAAAGCCUUCCAUUGUAACCCAAAACAAAAAAUGGAUGCAUUUCCCUGGUUGGCUAAAAUGUUCUGGCACAAGAAAAAAUUGAUCAGAUAAAGAAUUAGGGGUCUUAAAAUUGGGUAAAUCACAAAUCAAUCUAUUUUCCAGUUUCCAGGUUGAAUCGUAAAAUUGGGUUUCACUGUACUAUAAGCAACUUCCAUUAACAUUCAUGCUUCAUGAGACAUGCAUGAGACAAAAUCAAUCAUCCAAAUAAUGAAAUUAUUUUUUGUUCCACCAUUUUCCAACCAAAUUCUAAAUAAAAAGUCCAAAAAAGAGAAACCGUAAAACAAUGAGGCAAAUAAAUUAUGAAAAAAUUUUAAAAAAAUAUAUAAAAAAAAAAAAGUUACCAGAAAGCAGUGUAGCUGUAGAACUCCACACCCAAAGACAUGAAGAGAAGAGAAGCAGAGGAAAAGAUGGCCUGACCCAAUCUCAAUGAGAAGCUGGCACUCGUCCCUACUGAUCCAGGUACCUCAUCCAUGGCCAGCCCUUUUUGCAUAUCUAGGGUUCAUCUUAAUCAUUUACAUCAUCCACCAUUCCUAACAUCGCUCCCUCUCAUAUCCUCUAAGCGAAAACCGAAAACUAAAAAAACUAAAACUAAAAGCUGAAAUGGUUAUCAAACUGCUCUGCAGUUUCGGAAAUGUUAUCAUUUUCUUACUCUUGUUCAUGGAAUCUGGAUUGCUUCUCUUCUCUCCAUUUUGCACUGUAACAGUAUAUUGGCAAAUUCUCAGGUGGGUGUUUGGACUCGUGGAAAGUUUUGUAGUUAAUGGUGAUUGAAGAACAAGUGUGUUGGAUUUGGACAGCUGACCUGACUUUUUCUUGGGUGGCAUCGUCUCAAUGGACGAAACUGAUUGGAGAAAAGGUGUCUGAGAAUGCUGUAGCUGUAAGUGUAAGAUGCUUUUAUACUCCUUUUUUACGCACUCUUGUAGUAAAGUUUGUUCCAUGAGAAAGAAUAAGAAUAAUAUUAGUAUAGGGUUUGGGAUUUUUCUCGAAUUCCAUUGUUUUAUUGCAAUUAUUGGCGUUAGAUCGACCGGAUUCACUCUUAUUUAUAAACGGUGUCAAGAAAAUGACCAACAUCAACAUGUAUGUUUGAAAGCAGAGAUUCGAACCGAAUACCUCUUACUUCCAAGUGAAGUGAAGAAUAAUAUCAUUAAACCAUGAAAGGCUAUUGUGCAAACUCUUUACCUACAAGUUUGGAUUUUCUCAAAAAAAAAAUUCAGUUGGUCGUAUCCAGCCUAUUUUUAAAAAUAAACAUCUCGCACACACUCUCUUCCCAAAAAAAAAAAUUAAAUAAAUCAACACACCAAGCACUAUGUUUAAAUUUAUUAGAUUAGUUGCUAAAAUAACGGUAUUAAACCCGAAACUCCGGCAGAUGGCCAAUAACCCAAGAAAAUAAAAGAAUUGGUUACAUUUUUCAUAUGAUAUAGAUGGACUAAUUAUUUUAUUUGUAUUAUCACGUAUUGUAAGAGAUAUAUAUAUAUAUAUAUAUAUAUAUAUAUAUAUAUAUAUAUAUAUAUUAAAAAAUUAGAUUUUAAUUCUUAAAUAAGAUAAAAUUUAAACUAUAUUUGAUAAAAUGUUAAGACAGAUUCUAUUUAAAGUCUUUUUUUUUCUUUCUAUUUUUUGUUCUUCAUCCUUUUGACAAAAGUGGCGGCAAAGUGGUGGGGCUGUUGGGUCGGCUUCUAAGGCCAUCUCCAACCGAGGGCUGGCCAGAGGGCUCGUUUGAGCCAUCUGGCCCUCCAAGAUUCCCCAAGAUAUUAAUAUUUUAAUGAAGCCAUAUUUACCUCCGUCUCCAACCGAGGGCCAGAGGGCCAGAGGGCCAAAGGGCUCGUUUUAGCCCUGUCACAAAAAACCGUCUCCAACCGAGGGCCAAAUGACCAUAGGGCCAAACAUAAUUUAUUAUUUAAAAACUACAAUUUAAUGUUGUAUAAAUGGCCUAGGAAGUUAUACGAAAAAAAUAGAAUUGAAAAAAAAUAUGAAACAAAUUUUGUAAAAUAGAAGUUAUAGGAAAAAAAAUAUGAAAAAAAAAUUGAUUCAUAUGAAAAGGAAAAAAAAAGGGAAAAAAAGAAGUUUAAAUUCAUUAAAAAAAAAAAAAAAAAAAAGAGGCCUAAUAAUCCAACGGCUACUAGCCGUUACAUUCAAAAACAUUUCAAACUAUUAGUGUCGGUUAUAACCGACACUAAUAGUAGAACUAUUUAAAAAAAAAAGCUCUUUAAUUCUGUCGGUUUUAACCGACAGCAAUAGGAAACAUUAAAAAAAAAAUAGCCAGCCACCGAAAGCAGCCAGCCCUCCAGCCCUCUCCGAUCCCGUGGGGCCCUCCCAUAUUCCAGAGCCCUCUGGCCUAGCCCUCGGUUGGAGACGGUUUUAGGGCUAUUUUCGGCCCUCUGGCCCUCUGGACCCUUCGGUUGGAAAUGGCCUAAAUGGCAAACUAUUUACGGAUUAUUUUGUUCAAAAAAAUAAAUACUUUAGAGCAUCUUCAAUGUUUAGGACUCCUACCAUACCUUUGAGGCUUUGAGUACUUAUUUAAGGACUUAAAGGGAAUCUUUGUGUCUCUAAAUGAAUAUUGUCUCCAAUAGGAAAGUCCUUAUAGUAGAAUUCCUAAAUUUAAGGUUUUUACAAUUUUAUGUGAUAAUUUGACUAAGUACAUAUUUUUUGUUUAUGUUAACAUUACGUUCUCGUAAAAUAUUUUUGUGAACAUUUUAACCAAAAAACAUUCAAAUUCUUACACUAAUUUUUUUCUUCACAAAAACAUAACUAGAAAGAGUGAACUGAGUAUAGGAGAUGAAAUUGUGGUAAGUUUUGGUUAGAAAAUUUGGAAUUUAUAGGAAUGAUGAGAGAACAAGAUGAAAAGUAACCCAAAUUGAAAAUAUUAAUAUUUCAAUGGGGGCAUUAUGACAAGAGAAAAAAAAAGAAUUUGAAAACCAACAUGAAAGAGUAACCUAAAUUGAAACGGUUAUUUAAUUGGAACCAUUGAUCUUUCGAUGGUAAUAAAUUUUGAAAAGUAAGAAUCAAUCUAGACCCUCCAUUUUAAACGGUCGAAAAGAAUAAAAAAAGACAAGGCCAUGUGACUAGGACCCACACCUACUUUUCCACUUAAAUUGUCAUAUUGGAUUCAUCAUUUUCAGUCCCUAUAGAGCCCCUUAUAUGUGGAUACAUAAACCAAAUAUCCGGCGAGUCCCUAUACUUUGGAGACUCACUUUCCGAAUCAUUGGAGAUUUAUUUUGUCUUUAUAUUUAUUUUAUACUCAUUUUACGAUGGUUGUCCCUAUAUAGGGACUCCACUGGAGAUGCUCUUGGUUAAAUUAUUAGUCAAGAAAAAGGUGACAAGAAGGUGAGGUUGCCAUUGCUUUAGAAGGAAGGGUUAUGAAUUUGCCACUUGUGAUGCUCUCAAUGAAUCCCAAGUUAGGGGAAUUUCAGGUGGUCAAACAUGUAAAUUUCCUAAGAAAUUCGUAUCAUAAUUUUCCAUGGUUUUGAUUUUGGAGGUUAAUUUUUGGAUUGUGAUCUGUGAGGAUCGUGUUCGAGAUGCAAAAAAUCAUUUAUCUCUGCUUCGGAUGCUAGUCUUGUACUGUUACAUCAUAUUCCAAACUGACGAAGAAUGCAUCUUACAAAGAGCAGAAGCUGCAGAACAUAGGAAGAAGAUUACAUAUUGAUCACUGCAUUAUUAUAGAUUGUGAGAAAACACAUGAUUAUUAAUUUGUAAGAUCGAAACUAUACAAUUGGUUCACUUGGUUUUCUGGAUUAAACAAAUUUCUCCAAAUAUAAAAACGCGUCAUUUAUGAGAGUUGAACUUGAGACAUUUUUCUUACAAAUAAAUAUGAGUAUUAUUAGACCGUAGUUUGUGACACUUUUAAGGUAUGUUAGAAGUGAGAGACUUUCAGAUACUUAAGCGUUUAGAUGGAAAAGAAAUAGAUGACAAAAGGUCAGAUAGUAGAACUUAGAAAAGGCACUACAUGAGCUUUACAAUUGUAUGCGUGCAAGAGAAAUUUGUAAAUGAUUCAUUCUAAGUAGUCAUUUACAAAUCUCACUCACAUGCAUAUUGUAAAGGAAGUAAUUUUCAACACCCUAUUUAGCCUCUUACACACCCAUGUUGAAUUAUAUCCAUUGAUUAUCAUUUAAUUUAUUCAAUUCGACGGUCAUAAAUAAAGAAAAAUACGUGAGAAGCUAAAAAGUGUGUGAAAAUCACUUUCCCUAUUAAAUCACUUCCCCGAGUGUAAACCCUUGUAGUUUAUUAUCAACAACAAAUUUUAAUAACAAUUGAGCCAUUGGUUAGCAGAAUGCAUAUGGAUUCGGUCCUCCAAUCCACAUAACCCUUUUUAAAGUUGUUAGGGUUUCUAACUGUUACGGUUAGGUCUCCUAGUUUUUAGGGUUUGUUUUAAGUAAUGGCCUAAUAAUCCCUAUUCUUGAGGUUUUGUUGCACUUUCUGUUUUAAACUUAGUCGAAUACCACGAUUUUAGGGUUGUUAAUCGUGGGUUGUUAUUCCUUCGUUCAGUUUCAUUGUAAGGCUAUUUAAAAGCUAUUGUUACUUUCUAAUCCAAUAAGAAAGGUUCUCCCAAGCAUCUGGGUGCAUUAUCAAACUUUACGAGAUUUAUUUGUAAUUCUUUCUAGUUCUAACAUUUGGUAUCAAAGCCCCAUCAUGAGGCCUGAUCAAAAGUCUAAAUAUUGUCACUAGUUCAGUGUGAAGUAGCAACGACAUGGCUGCUUAAAGCAGUUUUCAUGCAACCUGCAAUCCCAAAGUUUGAUGGACACUACGAUCACUAGAGCAUGCUCAUGGAGAAUUUCUUAAGUUCCAAUGAAUAUUGGAGCUUGGUGGAAACUUGGAUCCUUGGAGCAACAGAAGGGAUGGAUCUCACUGAUGCACAAAAUAAGACAAUUGACAAUCAAAAGUUAAAAGACAUGAAGCCUAAGAACUACAUGUUCCAAGCCAUUGAUCAAUCAAUUUUGGAGACGGUCUUGAAGAAGGACGCUGCAAGGGAUAUUUGGGACUCUCUGAAGCAGAAGUAUCAAGGCACGGCACUGGUCAAGGUUGCCCAGUUGCAAGCUCUUUGCAAAGAGUUUGAAAUACUUCAUAUGAAGGUUGGAGAAUCAGUGAAUGAUUAUUUUUGGAAUGACUCAAACCUUAUUAGCUAUGGUAAGAGUUCUUCCAGAAUAAUCAUUCACUGAUUCUCCAACCUUCAUAUGAAGCACUUCAAACUCUCUGCGAAGAGCUUGCAACUGGGCACGGUUGACCCCGUGCCGUGUUUUGAUACUUUUGCUUCAGAGAGUCCCAAAUAUCCUUUGAUGUGUCCUUCAAAAUCGUCUCCAAAAUUGAUCGAUCAAUGGCAUGGAACAGGUAGUUCUUAGCCUUUAGGUCUUUCAACUUCUAAUUGUCAAUUGUCUUAUUUUGUGCAUCAGUGAGAUCCAUCCCUUAUGUUGCUAUAGGGAUCCCAGUUUCCACCAAGCUCCAAUAUUUAUUGGAGUGUAAGAAAUUCUUCAUGAGCAUGCUCCAGUGAUCGUAAUGUCCAUCAAACUUUAGGGUUGUAGGCUGCACAAAACUAUGUUCAACAACCAUGUCGUUACUGCUUCACACUGAACUAAUAACUGUAUUUCAGACUUUUGAUCAGGCCCCAUGAUGAGGCUCUAAUACCAAGAACCAGAAAGAACGAUAAAUAAACCUCGUAAAGUUUGAUAAUGCACUCAAAUACUUGGGAGAACCUUUAUUAUUGAAUUAGAAAGAAACAAUGGCUUUUAAAUAGCCUUACAAUGAAUCUGAACGAAGGAAAUAACAACCCAGAAUUGUGGUAUUUGACUAAAUUUAAGAUAGAAAGUGCAACAAACUUGUCCCUGAAGAAUAUGGAUUAUUAACCAUUACUUAAAGCAUACCCUAAAAACUAGGAGACCUAACCCCAAAGGCUAGGAAACCCAACAACUUUAACACAUUAAGCUACAUAUAUACGCAUUAUGUUGUGUGUAUUGGGAUCUCUCGUUUUCUAAAAGUUAAGAAAUCUUCAUAUGGAAUAUAUUUAAUGGAAGUUUAAUCAGCGUUGAUGACAGUGCUUUUGUGGGUAUUUAUGAUUACUGUUAUUUUGUAAUAAUUUUGAAUUUCGUUGUUCGAAAGGUAAACCCCAUUGUAAUUAUGUUUAAACAAUCCAAAAAUCAUUUUUUUUCUUUUUUUCUUUUUUAACAAACGAUAUUAUCUACAUUAACGGAGAUAAGGGUGGACUUAGCCUCACAAUGGGCUAGCAAUUAGGGUUGGGCAAACAAGUCCUGGACUCGCGGGUCGGGUACAAAUUUCAAAGAAAAUGGGCCCCCAGCUUGAACCGUUUCCACCGUUCAUUAUAGGGAGAUUAAAUCUCCACCAUUUAUUUCUUAAGUUAUGUAGAAUUCUCCAGACUUCCAGAGUCCUAAAUCCUGACUUCGAUCACAGCGGCCUUCAAAUCCUGACUUCUCUCAACCUCGAUCUCGAAUUCUCCCAGCUCCGUCCGUUCGAGUGUUUAUGCAUGAGGGGCUUGGUUGUCCAACUGUAAGUAUUGUUGGAAAAUUAGGAGCAGUUGACAGGGACGAUGACCGAAGUGCCGGUAGGCAUGGGGUCGACGUCGGACACGUUGUUGGCGGAGGCGAUCUGGGUGGGGAAGGAGUUGAGGAGGUAGGCGAUGGAGGAGGGAGAGUUGUAGAAAUGAGGGAGGGAGCAAAAGGUGAGGUAGGAGAGGCAUGAGGAAGCGAUGUCGUUGCAGACGUAGUCGUCGGUGGUGUUGUGGUGGUUGUAGCAGUUGAGCUGCUUGUUAUCAACUAGCAGCGCCGUCGAGUCGUCGGGGGUCAGUCGGUCUCCAUGAGCAGCCUCUUUGUUCUUCUCCGGUUACCUCACUACUGUAUGACCCGUGGGGACCCGUAGGAACCGGCUCGUUUCAAAAGGGUCAGGUUAGGUUCGGAUCUCAUUUUGAAAAAUCCAAAACCCACCCCGCCCCAUGUUAUUUACAAAUGGGUUCGGUCCGGUUCCUUCAAUUUUGGGCCCAGCCAGGCCCAUGCCCACCCCUACUAGCAAUAAUGUAGUUCAAAUUCGUCUUCAGUGAGAAUUGACUCUAAAACCUCUUACUUAUAAGUGAAGAGGAAUAUUACUAAACAGUAGUACGAAAUGGCUAAAGGUUGAUACUUUAGAAACAACAAUUUGAUCUUGAGGUCAACUUAAAACAUUUCUAACAGGGUUCGAAUUUUUGAAUGUGGUAAGUUAUUCAAUGGUGAACUAUUUACAUAUGGCCUAAUUGAUGGUGAUAGAGUAGUUGGAAGAUAGCCUAUGUGAUUUUUUUUUUUUUAAAAGGAUUUAAGUCAUUGUGGUGAAGUAUGUUAGAAUUUAGGCCUAAAAUUAAAAAUUAUGUCAACUCUUUGUUAAUUAUUAGCACAUGAGCCACACAUAUUAGGCUAAAACGGAACUCUCCAUUAAUUGUUAGCAUGUGGAGCUUACAUGUGAGGCUAACAUUAUCUUUUUAGUCACACACGUGAGUCUCAUGUGCUAACAAUUAACAGAGAGUUGAUAAAAUUUUCAAUUUUAAGCCUAAAUCCUACAGAUUUCAUCACAAGAACUCAAAUUUUAGUUUUUUUUAAUCCAAUUAAGUCUUUUCAUAGACGUUAAACAAUUAAUUAAAUCAUUACAACAAGGUGGGGCUGAGCCAUUUACUUUGGAAGGAGGCGCUUAUCAUAUUUGACAAAAUAUCGAGAUAACUUCUUACAUGAGUAUUUUCUUAGUAAUCGAUAAUGAUGGAAGGUAACAUGGUUUAUUGUUUGUCUUAGAGGGAUUUGGAUCCUCUCCUGAGCUUAGGAGGCUGAGCCUCCUGAGCAAAGCACAUGGGCCAUUAGAUUUUGAUUCAACGGCUACAAUUAUUAUAACUUUUAAAAGACCCCCCUGUUUGUAGCUGUUAAAUCAAAAUCCAACGGCCCGUGUGCUUUGCUCAGAAGGCUCAGCCUCCUAAGCUUAGGAGAGGAUCCAAAUCCGUCUUAGAGUAUCUCGAGAGUAGAUGUCACAAACGCUUAGUUGGACAAAAACGAAUAUUUUUAACAGCAAAAGUGAGUCUAACUGAUGAGCCAAAUGCUAACUUGGAUUGAAGGAUUUGCUCCAUGUGGAAUGAUGAUCCUCUUCAGAUCCUCUUUGUGAGGAUCCCAGAGAUUCUUUAAUCGCGUAUGUUUAUUGUAUAUUAUGCAUCCAAUUUUCGUUAGGAACUAUUUGUGUUCAAUUUUAAAAAAAAAUUAAAUGAUUUCUGACACAUGAUAUAUGAUGAACGAAUACGAUUAAAGGAAUCCGGAAUCCUCACAAAGAGAAUCCAAAGAGGAUCCUCAUUCAUCCAUGUGUAAAAAAUGACAGCAAGAAAGGUUGAUGCCAAAUUAUUUUAAUUUGAUUAAUGGCAGGACCCACAAAAUACAACCUUUUUUUUUUUUUUGGAAACUGGUUAAUUCAUUACCCGGGCAAAGAUGCCAGUCAAUACAAGAAGAGCCUUCAACGAGGCAAGCAAACAACAAAGCAAAGGAAAACUACGGACAACAGAGGGAGUUACAAGGAAGACACCAUAGCCAAGUUAUCGCGUUGCCCCCUCCAUUGCCCGUAUUACAUUAAGGAGGGCACAAUAACCCGUCAUUUUGAAACACAAAAACCAGUGAAGAUGGGGGUUGUUGACCCAAGAAAUAUUGCACAUCUCCACACAUAUUUUGCUUCUUUUGAAAUUGUUAGUUUCCACUUUCUUUAAUAAAUAACUCACUUUGUUCAAAAUAAUUCACUCAUAAAUAUUACAAAAGAAAAUGAAAUGAAAUGAAACAUUGUGACAUAUCAGGUGGAGUAAGAAGUUUGCAUGAUGUCAAAUUGUCACAUAAGUUAUCAAAUUAAUAUUUAAUAUUUUGCAUUUGACAUCUCUUUUAGAAAUACUCUUUUAAAUUUUUAAUUUUAUUUCAUAAAUAGAGAAAGAUGACUAAAUUUUAAGGAUUAGGAUCCUAUCCGGAUCUUCUUUUUGGGGAUUCAGAUGAUCAAUCAAUCGUGUUCAUUCAUUAUAUAUCGUGCGACUAAAAUUUUUUUGAAUUUUUAAUUUAAAAUGAAACACAAACAACACCUAACAAAAACUGUUUGCACAAUGUACGAUAAACAAACACGAUUAAUUAAUCCUCUAAAUUUCCACAAAAAGAAUCCAGAGAGGAUGCUCAUCCAAAAUUCAAGACAUCUUUUAAUAUUGAGACGAAUUUCGGGAAUUUAUCACAGUUGCAUACGUGGAGAUGACUUUAUCACGGUUGUCCUGAAGGCUUGUUUGGGCUAUGCCAGUUUUUAAGCAAUCAUUGGGCCAGUUCAGGAAUCAGCUGCUCCUUUGUACUAAAAAACUAUUCAUAUACAGAAAAUAUUCCAGUCCGGUACUUUAGCACUUAUCGAUGACAAAAUCAACAAAUGUAACGUAGAAGUACCAGCAAUGUGUCUAAGUACCAUCAAUAAUAUUGACGACUUAGGACGUCUUCAAAUACCAAGCAAAAAGUGCAGUCAAUAAAACAGAAAGUGUCUAACAAAAAUGAAAAGAUACCCGAACAUAAACCACUGCAGGUUCAUACUGAUCAACUCCAAGAUAAACAUUAUGAAUCAAAAUAAACUCGAUAGUAGCACUCAAUAACUCGUCUUCAUAUAAAGUCCAACUCCUCGACUCCUAGACCUGCACCAUCAAAGAAGAAAAAAUGAGAAUCGAUGAAGAAUAUCUUCAUUACUUUGAGCGAUUGAAGAUUCAAAUGCUAUCAUUAUUAGUCAAUGAAGAAUAUUGGGAUAGUAUCCUUUAAGAAAGCAAUGACACAACCAACAAACAUCACAUUAAACUUAUGAGCAAGUAGUCUACACGUGCAUCGUCUUUUUCAAACAAAAGGUAUAUAAGAUGAUGUUACUAGGAUACUACACAGCCACAAUCACCAUAAAAUGCGAGUUCAAACAUCAAGAAAAAUUAGCCAGACAAUCAGAGUGGACAGAGACAUUGCCUAAUUAAUUAUCAUCAAAUAACUAAAUAAUCACAUAUUGUCCCAACAAAACGAAAUCUCAAAAUCCUCGGGUUUCCUGCGUAGUUACAAUUCAAUCUUUCCACUGGGAUCUAAAAUCCUUUUUGUGCCAAUGCAAGCUACCCUAUUCUUCUUAUUGAAGCAUGGAGUUGAUUAAUAAUAAUGGAUUAGUUGUCUCUGACUGGGACGAAAAUUUAAUGCACAAACAAAAACCAUAAGGGUACGUUUGUUUUACCAGAUUAACCUUCCAGAUUACCCUAUUUAGCCCUUAUCCGCUUUAUAAACAUGGGACUAUACAUAAAUCAGAUUAACCCGGACUCGCACCACCUUAAAUUUCUUUAUUUAAACCCUUGCAUAAACACGGUCCAAUACAAGCCCUUUGCCACAGCCACACGUUGAUGCAAAGACUUUGCAAAUGGGCAGCUUCCAUGUUCAGCUGUGCUAGUAGACUAUUCAAAAUACAAUUACCAGGGGUUUGGUAUUUUGAACUUCAAAAAAAUAAAAUUUAUUUCCAAAGUUACACCAAACUUAGGGCAAGACUAAGUACCAGCCAAGCCAAUCCAAACCAAUCCCUACAAUUAGUCCAAGACAAGCCAAUCCUAUGUAUCAAACAUGCCUAAAGGUCUUCAACAUAUUACAGUAAAAAAGGAUGAGUGUGAUUUCUUUGUUUUCGAAACAGUUUGCACACACAGGAAACCCACUCAAACAUGCCUAGGUACUAUCUUGUGAAAGAGUGAUGCAAGACUACAAGACCCAUCCACAAUGUGACAAGCACCAAAGUUUCUAUAAGUUAAAUUCAAAAUCCACAAUAGACAUGUUAUCAUGCAUCAUUUUCCAACAAGGAAAAAGCUAAUGACUUAUAGACCAAAUUUCCCAAUAGUCAUACUGUUUCAACCUAUCUGUAAAUAAAAUUGGGAAUGUCGGUCGAUACAUUCAAUGGGAAAAAAAAACUCUUACUUCAAAUAUGCUAUAAAUCAUACACAGUUCUUGUGUCAAUUUGCCAUGGGGCAUUACUUCAAAUAUUAUUGCCUAUUCCGCAAUAAUAUUGAUUCAACUUGUUCAUAUGGCCUGCUUUCACCUAAGGCACAUUGUUGACUCCAUCAAUCACUAACUUGAAGAGAGUUUUUGUAUAACUAGAUAAUCACAAAUUCACAUGCUACUUAUAGCAUCGUAGAGUAGUGAUCCGUGGCGUCAAAAUUAAAACAACCAAAAAGAGCAGAUUAUACGAGAAAAAAAUCAUCUUUGUCGGGGUUCAAUCAUCAUCUCAAAGAAACAAAUAUAUUAUCACAACAUAACUCAAGUAAAAUAUUUUAGAAGCAAUCACUCAUCACUCCUGAUUUUCUUCGUACUCUGUUUCAAAUAUAAUCAAAUUGUCAACGUAUGCAACAACUCCUACCCUAUUACAUACAACACCCAAUGAGCAACUAUCAAAUUUAUCCCAACACAACAACAAUACAAUCUGUCAAACAAGUAUUCAGUUCAUAAAUUUCUCAAUAUUAACAACAAACAGAAAUACCCUCUUCCUAGUAUAUCUUAAAAAUAUCAUACAUCGAAAACCCACCAAAAAAAAUUUAAGAAAUCGGAAAAUAAUAAGAACGAUAUGAUCUCGAAAAUUACCUCAUAGAACCAGAUGGCCGUUAAAAUUCAAGCUUGAGUUCGUCUUUUUCCCCAGAGAGGAGGUGAAGAACAUAUGGGGCGGCUCGGAUCGCGACCACCCAAGCCCCGAACAUGGCGACAUGGCUCCGCAGCUGCUUCAGAGCCUCAGCCUUGUCUGGCUUCUGCAUAAACAUGGGAAACAUUUUGCUUUAUCUGAUCCGGCUUCUCUUUCCUGCAAAGUGAUAUGACAAACGCAACCUGACGCUUGAAACCUUAAAACCCUAAAACCCUAGUUGGUGCUCUGCGAUUUUGUAAUUUGGGGGUUUUUGACGGCUUCAAAAGGAUGAUAUACAGCUUUGCAGCUCUCGUGCGGCUGAGGGGUUUUUCGACUUUGCACGGGCGCGAUAUUUUCGGUUGGUGAUUUGAAAAGUAAGGGUAAUGUUGUAAAUACAAUAAAUUAUGUGGCUGUCUACUUGGAUCAUUGUUCAAAUAUUAAUAUUUUCUCAUUUAAUUUCUUAUUAAAAAUGAUGUUUUCGAGUUGGUGCGGGAUUAAAAUUGUGUGUUUUUUAUUAAAUUAAUGAAUUACUGGUCAUUAAAUGAAUUCAAUCCACUGGAACCAGUAAGGGUUGGUUGUGAAAGUAAGAAAAUAUAGAUGUUCGGGUGACAUUGGUUUUGGAUGACUGCGGCCGAAAAAGUGCGAAAUAGCCAAAAUUGUGCUUAGCCGUGGGCACCCUAGCAGGGCUGAGGGAUGGGUGCGGGCUGGAAGCAAGUAACUAGCCAAAAUUUGGCUUUGGGCCAAGAAAGGCAAUAACCCAGCAACAUCAGGCUGCAAGCUUGCAGGGAAAAGAAGCCAUGAAUGGGGCUUGGGCCAAGAAAAGAAAGCUCAUAUGGAGUUCAGUCGUCGUCAGCCAAAUUAAGGUCAUCUCCAACCGAUGGCUGACCAGAUGGUUCGUUUUAGCUAUUUGACCCUCCAAAAUUCUCCAAGAUAUUAAUAUUUUAAUGAACAGUACAUGACCAUAUUUGCUUCCUGAUGAGUAGAUUUUAUAUUAUAUAUUUUACCCUAAGCUUAGUAUAGUUUGGUUAAUAUAUUGGAAGAAUUUUGAUACUUUGAAUUGUAUUUUCAAUAUAGGACUUCCGACUUCCUCUAGAGCAAAAUAGGACCAAAUGGACGAAUUUUGGAGUGAUUCCAGUUGGAGGACGUUCGUGAGUCACUUAGCUUGAUCAUAUCAAAAUUUGGGAUUUUUCCAUCAAGCGGUUAUUUUCUGGCGAUAAAAGAAAGAAACAGUGCGCAGUGCUGGAAAAUGACAUUUUUGGGCUUAAAUGGCGUUUUUGGAGCCCAAGAUGACCUCGGAUGGGUUCGUGGCCUUCUAGAUAAGUGUUCAGAAUAUUCCAAACAUUAGAUCCAGCUAUAUUGGGCCAGUUUUGGAGCAGCUUAUGGGUCCAAAACGUGGGUGUUCAGAUUUUAGGCGAAUUUCACCAUUUAAUUUAGGGUUAUGUUUCCUAUUUUAUUUAAUUAUUAUUAUUAGUUUCCUAGUGGGAAGAAAGGACCUGUUUUUAGGGUUUGUGAGGGGGUUUAGCAAAUAUAUUGCUUGGCUGUCUACAGUUUUUAGACUACGCUUUAUUUUAUGCAAUUCUGGAGACAGAGAGAAGUGCUAGGGUUUUGGAGAUUUUCUACUUGAAGGUGUUUUUAAUCCUUUUCUUAAUAAUAUUUUCUAUGAUUUCAAUUAUGAAUAUGCGUAACUAAUUCCUUUUGCUAGGGCGAAGCCUUGAGCCUUAGCAUGAAUAUGUGAUUUUUAUUUAAUUGCUUAUGAUUGAUUGCAUGCAUACUUUGAAUUGUUAAUCACCGGGAUUAAAACUAUCUAAUUGUCUUAAUGCCUGGUCACCAUUAGGAUCUUUAGAAAUUUAAUUUGAUGCAAUUUUGGUCGGAAGGUUCCCUGAAAUUGACGCUGGCUUCUUAUGAUUAAUAAUUGUAAUUUCACUUAGGAUGAAUACCACGUCUUAAGGGUUGCAUGGUUUUUCAAAGGGUUUUCAUAAAGCAUAAUGAGUCUUUCAUGUUCAGAUUUGAUCCGAACGUCCGGACGGGUUGCAUGUUAGAUAUACGUUCUAUGUUGGAGGUUCCAAGUAGAAUAUGAAUUAGGAAAACCUAACCUUCAAAAGUGGCAUGUGUAGAUCAUAAGUAAUUGGUAAAAGUUCAUAGGAUUGCUAGGUGAUGGUGAAACCCUAGUGCUUCUUAAUUUGAUUUCUCCCAAAACUAUUUUCUUUUCCUUCUAGUUUUUAAUAUUGCAGAUUGUCUUAUUUUUAUUAAUUAAAUUCAUUUUUAAUUUAAGUAGUUUAUAAAAUCAGUCAUCUCAAUUUCUACUUUACAAUAAUUAAUUGGAAUUUGGUUUAUUUCGAAUUAUUUAAUAAUCCCUGUGGAGAAUGACCUUGCGAGAUCCGUUUAUAUUACAACAACCUUGUGAUUCUUGCAAGUAAAAUAGGAGAUUUAAGCCCGUUCACAUGAGUAGUAAAAAUCCUAUCACUUCCGUCUCCAACCGAGGGCCAUAAGGCCAGAGGGCUCGUUUUCGCCCUGUCACAAAAAAACCGUCUCUAACUGAGGGCCAAAGGGUUAUAGGGCCAAACAUAAUUUAUUAUUUAAAAACUACAACUUAAAUGUUGUCUAACUUUCAUGUUGUUAAAUGUUUUUUUUAUGUUGUAUAAUUUUUACGUAGGUUAAUGUUAUUUAAUGUUGUUUCAUAUUGUUUAAUAUUGUUUAAUGUUGUUCCAUGUUACUUAAUUUAAUUUAAUGUUGUAUAAUGGUUUAGGAAGUUAUAGGAAAAAAAAUAGAAUUAAAAAAAAUACGAAACAAAUUUUGUGAAAUAGAAAUUAUAGGAAAAAAAUAGAGUUUAAAAUAAAAUGAAACAAAUUUUGUGAAAUAGAAGUUAUAGGAAAAAAUGGAAUUUAAAAAAAAAUAUGAAACAAAUUUUGUAAAAUAAAAGUUAUAGGAAAAAAAUAGAAUUUAAAAAAAAAUGAAAAAUAGAAGUUAAGGAAAAAUUUUGUAAAUAAAAAAUAAUAAUAAAACUGUUAAAAAAAAUCAAAGCAUUCAUGUCGGUUAUAACCGACAAUAAUACAUGCAUAUUAUUUAGUAUAAAUGUAUUACUGUCAGUUAUAACCGACAAUAAUACAUGCAUAUUAAGUAAUAUGACACAUUUAAAAAAAAAUCUGGCCAGCCCUCUCUAAUUCCGUGGGGCCCUAUCAGAUUCCACAGCCCUGGCCUGGCCCUCGGUUGGAGAUGAUUUUCGGGUUAUUUUCGACCCUCUGGCCCUCUGGAUCCUUCGGUUGGAGAUGGCAUAAAGAGCUCUGGUUCUCACCGGAAACAAAGACACUCGCCAUUGCACGUGGCGUCAUGUCUCGAGGACCGAGCACAGGGCUCAAAGACAUCACCACCAUUCUCGAUUGCCUUUAAGGAGGUGGUUCCAUACGAGGGGAAAAUGUAAGAUAUUUCUAAAAUCAUAAGAACAACAACAGGACAUUAGGAUCACGGAUUUGAUAAACAAAAAUUACAAUAAAUCAAUUACAAUUUACUUAUCUUUGGAAUACAGAAGACAUGGCUCUUGUGGAUGACAAAUGAGUCUUCUACUUUCAACAAGCGAAAGUGUCCCAGUAAUAAUAGGGUUUGCUCAGAAUGGAACGUGUGUUUUGUGAAAGUAGGGACACCCUUAAUAUAGUAAUUAGGGUUCCCUUAAUUCCGCCUAUUAUAGUAAUUAGAGGAAUACACCAAAUCACCAUUUAUUCUUAAUGUUGCCCCACCAAGGCAUGUACAAUAUGUCUUACUUAAUUAAGGUUUCAAUUAGUCAACUAAAUAUAUCUUGGUUCCAUGAUUCUUGCUAACCAAUAUUGAAUCACGUUAAAAACCAAAUAUCUUGAAAAUAAAGUUAUUUAUCUUUCAAGUAAUUCGAUUCAUAAUAUUAAUAAUUGACAACUCAACAUGAAUCUUACAGAAAAUCCUAGUUCUCGCAUCUGUCAAGAACCGUCUGGAAUCUCUCAAAUCGGUCGUCCGAGAUGGCUUCGCCAUUACGGUACGAUUGCGAGUUGACGGGGGAUGCUGGAGCUCGGUUUCAGGCAGGCUGGUGUGUGGCAGGCAGCCAAGCCUGAAGGUAGGGACGGACGACGCAAUUAUUCGCUAAUGUUGGACAAUGGCUCGGCUUGGCGUGGCUUCAGGCCGUGGCUCAGCUGCAAUUUUUUCUUCUUCUUUUUUUGUCGGUUAGGGUUUUCAAAACCCUACUUCUUGCUUCUAUUAUCAUAGUGUAGCAUAAAUUUUUGUGAAUUGCUAAAUUGGUUAGGAUAUUUAUGAGUAUAUGCGAGUAACGAAUUAAGAUUUUUCAACAGAACGAGUUUUAUUUGGAGAUAUUUUUCUUGUCACGUAAUAUCUUAUUUUUCAUAUUACAACACGAUUAAAAUCAGUGUUACCAGCAAAAUAUCCCGUUUACUUGGUCUUGUUCAGAAAUUAAAAUGAGGAGGAUUAUAAAAUAUUAAACAAACAUAGUCCAGAUGGAAAAUAAAGUGGUGCAUUCCGCAGAUGAAAAUAACAGCUGGACGCGGUCUUAAAUUCAGCGACGCUGAUGUGUCGUAGGCAGCGAUCACCCCGAAACGAAUCGAGUAAGACCAAACCGACUACACCAGUCAACCAAAAGCAUUAACCCCUCUUCCCUCCUCUUUCCCCCACUCUCUCUCCCUCUCUCUCUUCACUCUUCAAAACACCCACCGCCGCCAAUGAUUCCUCCUCCACCUCCUCCGCCACUGUAUUAAUACUCAUAAAAAUGGUCGUUGCAUCCCCAUCUCCUGCACCCGCCCCCACUCUUUCCACCCUCUUCAUCACCACCUCACUCCAUGCAUCAUCCCCGCCGUCCAAGUACCCCAUCGACUUCUCCCCGCCCUUAAUCGCCAUGGUCGUGGUCGUCGCCACCGCCUUCCUUAUUGUCACUUACUCCCGCCUCAUCUCCCGCCACGUCAUCCCGCCAAUCCUCCGCCUCCAACGACGCUGGCACCACCGCCGUCGCCGCUCCUACCUCCCAUCAUCCAUCGGUGACAUCGACUCCCCGCCCUACGACUCGUCGCUCGACCCCGCCGACAUCGGCUUCCACGUGUUCUCCCCCUACGGCCUCGACGAGUCGGUGAUCAAAACAAUCCCCCUCUCUCUAUACACAUCAAAACAAUCCCUCCUCAGCCGUGACUGCGCCGUUUGCCUGAUCGACUUCCAAAACGACGACUACGUUCGAACGCUGCCGGUCUGCUCGCACGUGUUCCACGUUGACUGCAUCGACAUGUGGCUGCGAUCUCACGCCAACUGUCCUCUCUGCCGGGCCGGAAUAUUCCGUCCGGAAUCUCCAUUCGUUCCGUUGAUGGCCGCAAGGAUCAGGCCCAGCCUCGACGACACUGUUUUCCGGAGCAUCGCGCUCGAGCCUCUUGCCGAAGCUACGGCGCCGUGUGAUUCCGAUUUUUUAGUCACCGAGAUCGAGAGGUGCGCGGAGGAGCGAUCGCCGAGGAGGAGCUCCAACUACUGGGAGGAUUACCGGAUCAACGGCGGAGAUUUUGUUUUAAAGAGGUCGCACUCGUUCGGAUUCGAGCGGAGCUCGGCGUCGGCGGAGAGGAUGAUGGUGACGGAGCCUGCGACGGCAUCACCGUGGCGGUACCGGAGAGGAAGCUUCUGGAGCAAGCGGCCGUCGCCGUUCGGGUCGUUGACGAAGCCUCGAGUCUUCUCCUUCAGAUCAUCCUACAGAGGCGGCGUCAGCAUGAAAUCGCCGUUCUUCCGCCGAAAAGGCUUCUUCCCGCUGUCAGAGUCGAGCGCGAGAUUCUCCGGCGCCGGAACCGGUGGAUAUUCGCGGCGUAGCAAGUCGAUGACAAGUCCGAUGUUCGGAAGAUCAUCGGGGUUAUCGGCUUUCUCAUCGAGCCGGCUAAGGUGCGGAGAUCCGGAGGCGCUGUUGUCGCCGGAGAGGUUUAACAGGAGAUAGGAACGAAGGAAGCGAGGUUAAAUUCCGGAUCGACACGUGGAGGGUGGUGAUGGAGCGAGGGCGGGGUGGAUCGGACGGUGGGAGAUGGGUGGAGGCAAAGGGGGGAGGAGAGUUAAUGAGGGCUGGUGCGGUCAUUAACUAGGGGGGGGCUGCUGAGACGGCAUUUAAUGCCCAGAAUUGACGAGAGAGAGGAAGAGCAAGAAAAAACACACAAAUCAAAACUGGGGUUUUAAUUUUAUGGAGAGAGAGAAGAGAGAGGAUCAUAAAUGUGGAGAAAUUUAAUGGGUUUUGGCGCCAUUUAUUUAUUUAGGGGGAAAGAUUGGGUUAGCCUUUAAAUAUAGGGCUGCUUAUGUAGAGCAAACCGACCGACAACCAUACAAUUUAGAGCAUGUGGGAAGGAGUUGACAAAUCACUUGUGCAUGUGAACUAUACAACAGGGGUAGGCGUAGCUAGGGUUAUCCAGUUACGGCUUAGGGUUUAGAGUUUAAGGUUUAGGGAGAAACUUGUCUGUCUUGGUUUUACCAUCACAAAAUUUUGAAGAGAUGGAAAGUGCGGAGAGGGGGAGGAUGUGAAGUGCAAUGCGGGUGGAGUUGAGGCUUUGAGUGCUUGUCCUUGUCAUUCUUUUUAUCUUCCUUGACUUUGGAAGACAUGGAUGUGUGGUCGUUGUUGCAUUGCGGUAUUGCGCAUUGGGCAAAGUCAAAGCUAAGUGGGUCAAAUUGGAAUUUGGGUGGUUUCCAAUUACUUGGGAGGCAUGCUUAGGGUUUUGAGAAGGGAAAAGAAUGUUACAUGUCAUUUUUGGUGUUUUACUUACGUGUCUUGUGUAAUAUUAUUGUAGCAUUUGUCAGAUGAAUUUAUGUUACCUUUGUUUUGCUCUUAUUGAAAGAGAAGUAAUUCCAUUUUGAUGCAUGGAUUCGAUUAUAUUGCGUAUGGUAAACAUAUUUACUUGGAAUGACAUAAGUUAUUAAUCCGAGAAAUCAACUAAAUCAGUCCAAUUAUGAGCUUUAAGUAUUAUAGGAUUAUGGAUUAUAACGUGGAUCUCGUAUGUUUUUCGUUUUUGUAUGUAUAUCAUACUCUCAUAUGUCAAUCGGUGCACGAUAAGUUAUGAAUCAGAAUAAUUUCCGAAUAUUAGGGCUCCAUUACUAGUUCUUAAGGUUGAAUUAUUGUUUGGUUGUGCCUGCUUCCUUAUGAUUUCUGAUGAAUAUCAGUUUCCUGUUGUAAAAAUUAUGAGAAUAAUUGAAUGCCUACAUGGGAAUAGCAGUGAAUAGUAGGAAAUAGUUUGUUGUGUUAUGUUUUUUCAAAAGUGGUUUAUCACGGAUGAUUGUUUGAUUUGUUGCGGGUGAUUUUCAUUCUCUGUAAACCUACAAAUGUGGCUCUAUAAAUAGAACACUCCGCGGGUGAUCUAGACACAACAACUAAAAGAAAGAAAAUAACUAAAAGCAAUAAUAUCAGUAUCCCUCCAUUUCUCUUUUUAUCUGCAAUCCUUUUAUGUUAUAGUUACGAAACAAAACAGUAUGAUAUUUUACACCCGCUUCGCUUAUGUCCUUAACAAAGGUUAUCUCUCAAAUUUUUGCCUAUUUAUAACAUUUCCAUAUUUGUCUUAUUUUUCAUUUCCUUUUGUGUAACCUGGCUGCCUUUUGGUGUUUGGUAGUUUUGUUGGUUAACUAGUUCUCUAGUUGCCCUUGUAGCCUUGUCCUAAAUUGGCCUACUUUUUGUUUACAACUACAAGCAUCUGUUUUUUAAUCAGUUAACAGUUAUUUGCUGUGAUAUAUGGGAUAUUUGGAAGAGCCAAAAAAGAACCCUUAUGCAAGUAACAAGAUCAAUUUUGUGUGUGGAAUUCUAUAAAAGGAAUUCUUUGAGGACUUGUAUGACACGGCUGCACAAGUACACUAUUACAAUAAUUUUAUGUGUCAAUAAUAUAAGUAAAUGUGUUAUUUUUUUUCUUUCUAUAUAUCUUUGUAUUAUUGACAUUGAACAGUAAUUAAUGAUGUACUCAUGUCAUACAAGUGACUCUCGGAUUUCUUCAGCCUUGCCGUGACUAGCAAAAUGCUUAAUACAGACUGAGUGAAUAAAUGCGGAAAGCCCGAUUUAACUUAAGCAACCAAAAUGGGCUGCUGACAAAGGGUAUAAACAAUGCCCAACCAGGCCAUUUUGGGCUUGGAUGAAAUUAUAGUGGUGGGCCAAGUCGAAGUUAAAAACUCAUUGGUGUGGGGGUUUUUUUUUGGGCUUAAUAUUAUUCAGUGACGAAGAUUAUAAAAGUCAUUUAGUUAUUUAAUAUUAUAGUGUAGUGAUAUUUCUCUUUAUUUGUAAGUAAGAGGUCUUAGAUUCGAUUCUCGCCAAAGGUGAAUUUGAACCACAUUAUUGUUAGUCUAUUGUGAGGCUGAGCCCACCCCCUCUGCUUAGUGUAAAUAAUAUCGUUUGUUCAAAAAAAUAUUGAGAAAGAAUGCAUAACUCUGUAAUUUAAGCUUAAUCUACUCUGACUUAAGUCAAGAUUAUUUCAAUGGGAUAUUGUGUACUGGUUGUCUUAGACAUUUUGAAUACCGUAUGCGAACUUUAUAAAGGGACCUUCCUUAAGAUGAGGAAACAUUUUAAACUAUUUUUUCUUCAAAUAUCCUAGACUUUUUUAAACUCUUUUUUCCAAACUCUUAAACUGCAUUUUGACUCAUGCAACUUUGGUUGCAAUUAUAGGCAAAUUCAGGUUGUAGCUCUCCUUGUUUAAUUAAAAAACAAAGGGAAAUGGAGGCUUUCAAUUUGUCAACACGUUGGAUAUCAGAAGUUGAUCAACAAACAAACGUCCAAAGAGGUCACAAAUAUUGUUGGGAUUUCAGCAUCCAAUACAAGUAGAUAGCUUGCUCCAACCAUUUUAGGCCACUGUUUAGGCUUAUGCUACCAAAAAUCCACCUUUACUUUUUGAGGUCAUACCCAACCUCACCUGCACUGCAUCUGCUUGUCUGGGUUGUUAGAAAAUGCAGUCACCAAAUUAUUCAUUUUUCCAAGAAACAAGAGAGAAAAUCUGAUACAGUCCUUUUAGGGCUGUAGAGAAUUGGAAAAGGUAGAACAAAAUGCAAGUUCGGAAAAAUGCAAGUUCGGAAUAAAGAGAAGCUUGACAGCCAACUCGAUAGUAAUAAUUUCAUUCAAAUCAGACUUGUCCUCCAACAUCCCAAGCACGAGUUAUUUAUACAAUAAAAGGAACAUAAACUAGUAUAUGAAAUAAAUAGAGAAACCCAAUAGACAUAGUAGUUUUAACAUUAUUAGCCUUCUUAAUCUUGGAAUCUGAUGGGUUUUGGACGUUCCUUGGCAAUAGAAUACUCAUUAGAUGAUGCCCCUUUUGACUUUAAUUCUAUGUGUGACUCCUCAGAUGAUCCUUCAUCAAAAUCUGCAAGGAAGAGUUUGUCACGCGUGAUAAAUGGAGAAAAGGAUAAGACAUAGUAAGGUCGAAUUAAGUAAUGGGUCUGGCUACAGUAGUAUGUAAGAUUUAAACGUUGUAAAGAUCCAUUAUAUCCUCUAUAUCAAUUUUAACGUGAAUUUUCUAAAUCACUAGUGGUUCGUACUAUGAAUGCAUCACCUGUAAUUUGAAAAAAAGUUGAGGUUCCAUCGUAAAACUAAUUGACAAUAUAGAAAGUAGUUCAACUUCUUAUAAGCUCAUGCAAUGUCCCUUCUCCCAUCGGGAUUUAUUCUCAACAUAAUGAGAAUUCCUUUCCCCUUCUCCUUUUGGGAAUUAUUUCUAACAAGUUUAAAGAAAUGAGCACAUUAUUCUAACCAACUAAUUUAAUAUUCGUUAAGCUGCAUUUUUCUUCUGUCUUUCUUUUCGAGCAAGAAAAUGCAGUCAUGAAACUAUUGACUUCCAAGAAAUAAAAUCUGCAAGAGGUCCUCUCUCAUGAGUCACGACGAAUGAGAUCAGGAUAAGAUAAGGUAAAGAGGUAAACCUAGACUUCUAGUCAGAUUAGUAAUAAUAACAAAAAGGAAUGCUAAUAAGAUCUGAUGACUGGCAUGUUCUCUAAUUAAAAAUUCUUUUGUCUAAUUAAAUUUCAUUAGAAUUUCGAUUGAGAGAGGGAUUGCUGAGUCCCAAGUGAUCAUGUAAAACUAGCAAGGGAUGGAUUACAAAAUGUUUAAUAGGAAGAAUUAGAAAUGUACCAUAUGCACACCUUUUAACUGUUGAAAUACCUCACAUCCAUUGUAUCUUUGAAAAAAGAAGUGUUUAAAUAUCUUAACCUUGCUCCAACUAAUACUGAUGCCUUUUGUGAUAAAACUUCACACCUAAUGACUUGUGUAUGUGGUAAUUACAAAGUUGGGGGAUAAUAUCGGUGUUGUUGGAAGUGAGCAUUUGGUCCAUCUAUUUGAUAAUUCAACAUGAUAUCAGAGCCAGAGAGCGGGUCUGUACUGUAUUGUUACGUGAUGGGUGUGUCCUCCUGGCCCUGCGUGUAGGGUGAGUCCCCUUGGCUCCACAUGGUUGUCAAUGUGUGGAUCUCCCAUGUGUGACCCAGUAAUUGGGUCCCUCGUGAUGGGCAUGUUGAAAUAUCUCAUAUCAACCGUAUCUCUGAGAAAGAAGAGUUUAAAUAUCUUAACCCCGCUCCAACUAGUAUCAAGGCAUUUUGUGAUAAAACUUCACACCUAACACCUGAUGUGAUAAAACCCCGCACAUGACACCUGACAAAUUGUACAGGUGAUAAUUACAAAGUUAAGGAUAAUAUAUGUGUUAUGGGAAGUGGACUUUUGAUCAAUCUCACUAAUAAUUCAACAUUAAUUAAGUAGCUAUAUAAGUAAAUCGGUCUCACAUAUCUUUCUAAUGCUCAUAUGAUUUAUUUAUAAUCUCUUUUAUCUAAUAUUUUGUCGCCACUUGACCCUGAGACUUGAAAAUUCCUAACAUAGCCUUAAGAGAGUCUCUUACAAUAAACGGAGGAUGUAUGCCAUCUUUAAGUGUAAGAGAGUGAACACAUUACUCUAACUAGCUGAUUUAAUCUUAAAAAACUCUAAAACACUAGCUAAAAAAAAUCUUCUUGAAGUGAAAAAUAAUUUACUUUGGCAAGGUUGAUUAGAUUAAAAUUCUUUAAGGUGUCCUAACUUAUUUUUCAUUUAUGUGACUGAACCAUACAAUUAUGAUUAGAUUACACUAGUCUUUAAGUAUCCGCGUGAAUGCGUUAAUUGCUUCAAUAAUUUUUUUUUUUAUGACAACAAAAAUUCAAAUAUUUGAAGUAAAUGAAUAAUAUUCGAACAUGCUAGAAGAAACCCCUUAUAAACCAAUCAAAGCAACUGAAUCCACAUAAUAAAAUCAGUCUUUCAAUUUCCAUCUACAUUCUAUUGAAUUUACAUUAAGAAUAGAGAAAAUAAUAUUUAAUAGAUAACUGAUUGAAUUAAAUUAUUGUUAGCCCAGUGUGAGGCUAAGCCCACCUCUUCCCCUUUAGUGUAGAAAACAUCGUUUGUCAACAACAAAAAAACAUGAUCAUUUGACAACAAAUCGAAUCAUAUUAAUAUGCGCGUGCGAAAGACUUUUUUUAUUUUAUUUUUAUAAUUGGCACUACGUGCCUCUUAAGUGUUUAAAAAUAGAGAAAACAAUAUAACUAAUUGAAUCGCAUUAUUGUGCACGUGUGAAAGACCUUUUUUUAUCACUGGCGGUACACGGCUCUUUAGAUGUUUUGAAUGUGUUUAAAAAUAGAGAAAAUAAUAUUUAAUAAACAACUUAUUGAAUCACAUUAUUGCUAACCUAAUGUGAGGCUAAGCCCAUCCACUCCUUCUUAUUGUAGAUAAUAUCGUUUGUUUGAAAAGAAAAAAAUAAUCAUUUGACAACUAAUCGAAUUACAUUAUUAUGCAAGUGCGAAAGAUUUUUUUUUAUAACUAGCACUACGCGCCUCUUUAGAUGUUUUGAAUGUGUUUGAAAAUAGAGAAAAAAAUAUUUAAUAAACAACUGAUUGAAUCACAUUAUUGCUAACCCAAUGUGAGGCUAAGCCCACCCCCUCAUCCUUAGUGUAGAUAAUAUCGUUUGUUCGAAAAAAAAAUCAUUUGACAACUAAUUGAAUCACAUUAUUAGGUGUGUGUGAAAAACAUUUUUUAUAACUGGCACUACGAACCUUUUAAGAUGUUUUGAACGUGUUUAAAAAUAGAAAAAAAUGAUAUUAAUAAACAACUGAUUGAAUCAUAAUAUUACUAAACUAUUGUGAGGCUAAGCCCACCCCAUCUCCCUUAGUGUAGAUAAUAUCAUUUGUUCGAAAGAAAAAAAAUCAUUUGACAACUAAUUGAAUCACAUCAUUAUGGACGCGCAAAAAACCUUUUUUAUAAUGGGUACUACGUGCCUCUUAAGAUGUUUUGAACAUGUUUAAAAAUAGAGAAAAUUAUAUUUAAUAAAUAACUGAUUGAAUCAUAUUAUUGAUAGCCUAUUGUAAGAUACUAAUUAAAAAAAAAAACUGUAUAAAAAAAAGCUGUAAAAAAAAAUUAAUUAUUAGAAAACGUUGUUUAUAUAAUAAAAAUAUCCAUGCAUUAUUUUGAAUUGCUUUCAAACUUUUUUUGUUUGGAAGACAUUUUUUUCCACUUAUUUUUAAUGAAGGCUGUGACUCUAAAAAAACACUGUUCACAGCAGUGUUAGGCUUUUUAUAUAGAGAUUUGACUUAUGUGAGAUUGUUUAAUUAAUUGUUUCAAAAAAUUGGAGAAUCCUAUUUUGUCCAUGUGGAAAGAAACCCAUCUCGUCAACAGACUUCUUCUCUACUUUAUCGAAGGAGGUCAUCAGUGAAUGUUUUGGCAACCAAUAAAAGAUACCAAAUUGGUAUUACCAAUCUCAUCAAAAUGUACUUCGAAAGGGAUCCUCUCCGGGUUAUUUUCACUUAAUUCUUUUCAUCAAAUAAUUUUGAUCCUUAAAAUUUAAUUCAACAGCUAAAAAUACGGGCCAACUUUAAAAGUUAUAGUAACUUUAACAGUUUGAUCAAAUUAAGGACCCAGAUUGUUUGAUGGAGAUGAUUAGGUGGAAGGGAUCUGGAGAUAUCCCUUUCCAAUGUACUUGACAACAUUUUUGAUAUCAUAAUAUAUUUACACUAGAGAGCAAAUGAAUAAUUGGAUCAAACACGUCAUUUACAAAAUUUAAAGUUGAAAUUUUUCAUUUACAAGUAAAGAAAAUUACUAUUAUACCAGAAGACUAAUUGGCAAAGAAAUGACUCCUAAAACAUGAGAAAUGAUAAGGACACACUCCUUUAAGCUUCUCAAAUACCCUUAUAAACAUUUUAGGUCGAACAUGAUCAACCACCAACAACACCAAUAGUGCCCCCAACUUAACCACUUAUUACUAGGUGGAGAUUUUAUCACAGCAUGCCUCUUUGAUAUUAGAAAUGAACCUUAGUUGUGUAUUACUUAGAUUUUCCAUGCAAGACUAUUCUCCAAUACAUAUGUGUUUAACCAUGUCUAUUAAUUCUGUUUAAUUUAUUUAAUCUGAUAGCUCAAAAAUAAAGAGUAAUAUGUGAGAAGUUGAAGUAGAGAUACUAAAAUUAUUUAUUAGUCCCUUAUUUUGCAUCACAAAAACAAGGAUUAAGGUUUAAUAAGAUAAUAAAAAGCAAUUAGAUUAAAGAAACACUACACAGAGCAAGGACUUCACCAAACUCCAUCUACCAUUAUAAAUGCAAUGCCAGUUAUUCCUCACCAAUCUACAAGACAUGCAUCCAUACAGCUACCUUGAAGACCCUCUCUCAUAAACACCGCUAUAAAUUGGUUAAAAUUUAUUGCAUUCAGCUGACUUAAUCUCCCCCACCGCCACCUCUCCACCUCCAUUUCUGCUUCUGGUUAUUAGUUACCAGUCACAUUCACCAGAAGCUAGCCCUUCCACCUUCCAUUAUAUUUGUUUCAGAAUCUCAGUUCUUUACUUGUGCCUGAAAUCUCAGUUGGGUAAAAGGGUCCAUGGAUUUCAUAGUGAAGGUUGAGGAACCGAGGCCAGCUGCCAACGGGAGGCCGUCAGCGGGGCCGGCGUAUCGGAGCAUUUACGCUAAGGAUGGUCUCAUGGAGUUGCCGGAGGGGUUGGAGUCUCCUUGGCAGUUUUUGAGGUACAUUAUCAUCCCAUUUUGGUACUUGUUUUUAUAUUUUUUAUUUUUUUUCAUGUCUUGUUAAAAUUUGAUGUGCGUUAUGGAUCAGAAUAAUGCACUUUAAAUUGAGUGUCACAUUUUUCAGUUGAGGGCAGUUGAAUUGAGCUUGUUGUUUGUUUGGAUCCUCGGAAAAUGGACAGAUAAAUUUCUCAGGAAAAUGUAAAUAUUUAUUCCUCAUAGCACUCACUCAUCAGAUCGAAAUCAAAUUAAUAGCAGAAAAGAAAACAAAAAUGGCCCAUGCAGGUCUCGAACCUGCGACCUUCGCGUUAUUAGCACGACGCUCUAACCAACUGAGCUAAUAGGCCAGUUGAUGAUUCAGCUAGUAUACUUAAUAAUAAUUCUAUGUUUUAAUCAUCAUAUAAAAUCUGAUUCGAAUUUCUGCGUGAAUUCAUGGCUGAAACUCUGGUGUUACUUGCAGUGACUCUGCUAAGAAAUAUCCGAGCAACCCAAUGCUUGGGAGGCGGCAGGUCACCGAUACAAAGGUAAAGCUUCCAUUUGAGCAAAAAUAGCACCAACCCAUUGAAACCCAUGAGCUAAUUUUUUUUUCCCAAUUAAGAUUAUCAAAACCCAAUUUUUAAUAAAUUUGUUUAUUGGAAAUGAUAGGUGGGUCCGUAUGUGUGGCUUACGUAUCAAGAGGUUUAUGACGCUGCCAUUCGAAUGGGUUCAGCCAUCAGAAGCCGCGGUGUCAAUCCUGUAAGUCACAUGCAAAUUAAGUAUACAUGCAGUAGCGCUCAAACGCUAACUAGUUAGUAAGUUAAUAGGGCACUAACCUGACCGUGAAUAAAUUAAUGUGCUCCUGUGUCAUGGUUUUAUAUGUUAUCCAGAGUUUUGAUGUGAUCUAUGCUAUGUAGAACUAAUACUAUUGUAGUUGAGAGUUGAUGUAAUAAUGGUACUGAAAAUAGUUCUAUAAAAAAAGGAAGCAAACUACGAUUAGUCUCAUGAUGUUUUUGUAUCUUUUACAUGUUUACAGGGAGAUCGUUGCGGUAUAUAUGGAUCAAACUGCCCCCAGUGGCUUACUGCAAUGGAGGUGAUGCUGUGUUUCGCGUUUUCAUGAUUGAAUUUCCGUGUUUAUGCAUUCCAUUCCGCGAAUGCAUGCUAAUAUUGACAUUAAAUUCUGUGACUAUGGUUGAAUGACUGUGAUGUUGGGGACUGAAUGCGACUUUCUGGCGUAAUGCUUAUUUGUUUUGUUGAUGUUUUACAGGCCUGUAAUAGCCAAGCCAUAACAUACGUUCCACUCUAUGACACCCUCGGUAUGUUUUUCCUUCUCCUUUGUCAAUAGAACUCGGUGUGUAUACCACCAUGACUUUCAGAAUACCUUUAUAUUUUCUUCGUUAAUAUCAUUUCCACGGGCAAUUAGACCUUUGAUGAUGGUGGUUGAGUUUGAUUAAAUAUAGCUGAUUAGCUUUUCAUGGUUGUUCGUGUUACAGGUGCUAAUGCGGUUGAGUUCAUCAUCAAUCAUGCUGAAGUUUCAAUAGCUUUUGUUCAAGAAAACAAACUCCCUGCUGUAAGUUUGCUUUCUAUCCAUUUCCUUAAGUACAAAUGCACAAGACUAUUGAUGUCAUAUAGUUUGGUACUAAAAGUAUCCUAAUCCAACUCCUUGGUACCAAAACCUCAGAUAAAUACGAAGACCAUCUUACCUUUGGAUAUUUCUACCCUAAAUAGUUUGACGACUAUCUUACUUAAUUUCCCAAUACAUAUGUGGUAUUUUAGUUUUGAAUUUCAGUUUUUUUCUAAUAUGUUCUGAUGUCCUGCUCAUAUGGUAAUGCUUUGCGCAGGUUCUGUCAUGCCUUCCAAAUUGUUCUACCAAUUUAAAAAGUCAGUCAUCUUCAAUUCCCUGAAGAUUUGGAAUUUGAGGUGCAAUUGCUGCAGAUUGUAACUCAGUUAUGCAUUUUCUUUUUACAGCAAUUGUCAGCUUUGCAAAUGUUUCUAGCGCUCAAAAGGAGGAAGCUGAAGGACUGGGGGUAUCUUGUUUUUCUUGGGAGGAAUUCUCUCAGUUGGUACGUUGUUUAUGUUGUCUUUCUUAUAUAAAUUCCCUUCGUUGGUAAAGGAUUCGCCAACUUAUUUUUCAAUAAUGUAAAAUGACCUCUCCAGACCUUUUCUCAGGGAAAUGCAGAUUGUGAACUACCUCCGAAACGGAGGACUGACAUUUGCACAAUCAUGUAUACAAGCGGAACAACUGGAGAACCAAAAGGUGUACGUAUUAGUAACGGAGCAAUUAUGUCAGAAGUAUUGUCUGUGGAGCAACUACUAUUUCUAACAGAUAGAGUGGUAAACAACUGAACACACUAUUUCCUAGCCUUUUUACGAUAUAUAUUGCUGGAGUCCAAAUUAGUGUUUUUUCUGCCUCUCAAAGUUAAAUUAGAAAAAAGGGAGGAUAGCUCCCGGCACUUGGCAUGCUUAGUUUGAGUGUGAUUUGGUGACGGGCAUUUUGAGUAGUUAUAUCGUAGCCCUUAAUUAUGAUAAAUUAGUACCUUCAUGUAGUUUAAAUGGACAUCAGAACAAGACCCUACUGAAAAGUCGAUGUUGUUGUGGUUGGUCUUUCCAAACAACUAUUUAAACUAUAAGUAGUAAUACCUUGCUAAGUAAGUCAUCUCGUAGUUGAGCCUAGACCGCUUCCCCACCCAUCCCAAUGCCACUUGAGCUAGAGCUCAUAAAAAAGUCAUCCGCUCAUUCAAGGGUGCUCAUUUGCAGAAAAUUUUCUUUCCGAAGUUCUGUUACUGCGAUAUGAGAAAUUAUUUCCUUUUGCUAAUCAUGGUGCAUUAAAACUACAAUACUGAUCUCAUGAAAUCAAUUCUAAUACAGUGUACGGAAGAAGAUUCAUAUUUUUCCUUUCUUCCAUUGGCCCAUAUAUAUGAUCAAAUAAUGGAGAGCUAUUGCAUCUACAAAGGAUCCUCUGUAGGUUUCUGGCGAGGAGUAAGUAUAUAAGAUUCAUAUAUCUUUCAAAGUUAUCUCUUUUCUUAAAUUUUUGUAACUUGUUUCUGAUGUGAUUUCUUUCUUGAACUUGGGCAGGAUGUCAGAUUUCUACUCGAGGACCUUCAGGAACUAAUGCCUACUAUGUUUUGUGGGGUACCUAGAGUGUAUGAUCGCAUAUACUCUGGUAAAAUAUACAUCAUACCAAUCCUGAUAAAUUACUGUCUUUGAUUUUUUUUUAAUUGUAAAUAGUUGGCUUAAACUUUGUGCUCGCAGGUAUUGUCAACAAAGUUUCAUCUGGGGGUGUAUUGAAGAAGACAUUAUUCCAAUAUGCUUAUAACUAGUAUGAAUCCCGAAAAGCUCCCCUUUUUGUUUGCAUUUGCAUUCCUGCAAUAAAACUAAUGAAAGAUUUAAUUGACAGCAAGUUGGCGAAUCUGGAAAAGGGUCUCCCACAAGAAAAAGCAGCACCCCUCUUGGACAAACUUGUCUUCGAUAAGGUUUGUUGUUGCAUCCUUCGCCGUUCAAUUAUUGAAUAGCUGUUUUACACUCUAACAAAAUGUUACUUGUGGUAGAUAAAACAAGCGUUAGGGGGACGAGUUCGUAUAUUGUUGUCUGGUGCUGCCCCUUUGCCUAGGCAUGUGGAGGAAUUUUUGAGGGUCACCAGCUGCAGCACUUUAUCACAAGGAUAUGGUAUGGUUGAAGCAUCUCUGCUUUAUGUCAUCUAGGAAUGAUAUAGAGAUCGUAGGAAUGGUGCUGCUAGAAUUUACCUAAUUGACUAAUCGACGUAGGUUUUGUAGUGACCUUAUUUUUUAGUGCAAUGGAAAGAACAAAACAUUGACCUAAAAUGAAUUCAAUGUCUUCUUUGAAGAAGCUGAGAGUUCAGUGACGCAAGCUUCUACUCAUCCGCAGUAGUUUUAUAAAGUUCCCUUCAUAAUGAAAAAGAACCUUCCAUCAACUUGCUAAACUCUUUUACAUGUAGGCCUUACUGAAAGCUGUGGUGGUAGCUUCACGUCCAUUGGCAAUGUUUUUCCUAUGAUUGGAACUGUCGGUGUCCCUAUCACAACUAUUGAAGCAAGGCUUGAGUCAGUGCCAGAAAUGGGAUACGAUGCACUUUCCAGUGUGCCCCGUGGAGAGAUUUGCCUGAGAGGAACAACCUUGUUUUCUGGUUACCAUAAGCGAGAAGAUCUAACAGAGGAAGUCCUUGUUGAUGGGUGGUUUCAUACAGGUAAACUUUAAACAGUCAGCCAUAAAGUUGUCGCUUGAUGCCCAAUGUUUUGUCUUCUUGUGAAGAUGUCACCACUGGACAUCUUAGAAAAUUUUGUUGAUGCUUAAUUGUUGCGUUGAAAUGUGAUGGUGACUUUGAUUUCAUUGCAGGUGACAUUGGAGAAUGGCAGGCAGAUGGAGCAAUGAAAAUCAUAGAUAGGAAAAAGAAUAUAUUUAAACUAUCGCAAGGUGAAUAUGUUGCGGUAGAAAACAUUGAAAGCAAAUACUUGCAAUGCCCUCUUAUCACAUCGGUAUGUUGCUAGUUGCUAGACCGGGCACAAGUUAAUCAUUCCUAUACGUUAGAGCCCACCUCUAUUUGCCUCCAUAUAUGAGUUUUUAUUUGUUGGUCUUUGUAAUUUGUGGAAGUUCCCUCUGGUUUGUGUUUUGAUUUUUCUAAAGUUGUGGAUUUUCCUCUGGUUUGCAGAUUUGGGUAUAUGGGAACAGCUUUGAGUCGUUUCUUGUUGCUGUGGUGGUCCCUGACCCUAAGGCGUUGGAGGAUUGGGCAGCAGAGCAUCACUUGACCGAUGAUUUCAAAUCAUUAUGUCAAAACCCGAAGGCAAGCAAGUACAUUUUGGAUGAGCUCAAUAGUACUGGUCAGAAACAGCAAGUAUGUUGAUAAUAUUUCACCCAAUUCCCUGUUUCAAUUUCCAUGGCGUAUAUGUCAAUGUCUACUCAUCUAACUUGGAACACAUUCCCGCAGCUCCGAGGUUUUGAGCUGUUAAAAGCGGUUCACUUGGAACCGAAGCCCUUUGACAUGGAGAGGGAUCUCAUUACUCCAACAUUCAAACUGAAGAGACCACAGCUGCUUAAAUAUUACAAGGUAUGCCUCCUGGUGUCGUUUUCUAUCUACUGCCUUGUCCAACAAGUCAUGACUGGUGGCACCUAGAAGUACUUUUUAAGGGCCAACCAAUUUUCCAAACACAACCCCCGAUAUUUCUCUGUCGAGCUAAUGUUAAUUUAUAUUUUGUCGGAAUAUCAUCUGCAGGACCGUAUUGAUACACUGUACAGCGAAGGAAAAGGAGCAAGGGUAUGAGUCUGUUGAAAGCUGUAAGCUAUCGGAUCAAACGUUUUUACCACAAUUUCCCAAAGAUAUUAUUUCUGAUAUUUGAGGAACUAUGUAAGAAAAUAGUGGGUAUCUGCUACCCACAAAGACACUGGAUGGGCGCGAUCCCGUCAAGUUAGUUUGUGUGUAAAUAAAGAUAACGUAAAAGCUCUUAUUCCCGAUAAUUUCACAUAUCUGCUACCCAGAGUGUAUAUUUGUUUUAUUUCCUUCCAAGUAAGAAUGCAUGAUUUAGAGAAAGCAAUUAUCCUUCUUAGCCGAGGCUACUAGCGCAGGCUUGUAACCAAGCAAAACAUUAAAGUGAUUGAUUGAUUGCUUAAAGUCUAGCGUGGUUAGGUGAGGUUGAAUAAAGCAAUUCCUCUCUGAUUUGAAGCCUCAAAUGCUUGAGUCUACAUUGCUAGCAUACAAGUAAGCGAUGUUAUGCAUUAAUUUGUGUUCCCAACCCAACCCAAUGUUCUCUAUUCUUUUGGUUCAAUUCGCAUUGGAGGUGUGGUUCUAAUGCUUAUGUACUGUAUCCCACACCAAAACAGACUCGGACAAAAGGAUGACCCGGGAACUAACGCUUUGCGAAAGGCCGUCCAUACCGAGCUGCUAGAGCUUCAAUAUGUUGUGGUUACGUCGGUAAACAGGCGAGAUCCAUGUUCAACUUGAGGCACCAAGUGUAGUGAUAGAACCCCGUUCCAACCCUAACUCAAAGACAGAUUUCAGUAGAGUAGAACACCAAUAAUGUUCUUUUUUUGGGUCCUGAACAAUGAUAAUAUCAUUUGUGCACACAAAACUGACACAUUUAUUAGAGAAUAUGGGGAAAUGUAUUGGUUUAGUGUGAACAAAUAACAUUGCCCCAAGAACACAUAAUUGAACUAUAACUAUUUUGCAACUACUAAAUUAAGAAAUGGCUCGUUUGUAGGAAUUACAACAAGUACGGUUUUGUUUUUGUUAUACCAAUAGCUGCGUUUUCUGUUGGCCAUGAGCCAUAGUUUUUCAUCAAUAAAUCCAAGCCAAAACCAAAACCAAAAAGAAAAAGUAAAGAACCACCACGGGGUGGCCUAGUGAUUGGGGGCAAAUCAUGGGUUCAAUUCCUGACGCUAGUGAAUCACAUGAUGGUGGCCAAGAAGAGGUUGAAAUGCCUCUGUGAGUCUUCCCGGCCUCUAGAAGGGUGGACUGCGGUGGCGAAGCCACCAAUCGGUCCCUUUUUUUUUUUUUGGUUAAAGUUAAAAAAGAAAAAGAAAAAAAAAUGGUAAAGUAGGCUUAGAUUUUACAACUACUUUGGCUAAAGCUAGUAGGUAGGACUGUCUGAUGAUCCUUGCCCUGCAAAAGUUAGGUUUACUACCACCUGGUUUGGGAGCUUCAUUUGUUUUCGUUGUGAGAAUACAACCUUCCACCAAUGUCUAUAUAGUGUGCAGUUGCAGAAAGAUGAGUGUGCGGGUGCAAAGCCAAGAGCUUAUGCCUACCAACAUAGCACCAAAGAGUGUAAACAUGUAGAGAGAAGCUCUCCUAUCCGAUCAAGCCAUGACCAACACAAAGAGAGAGUUGUCGAAAUAAGAUCUUCCGAAGAGGAAGCCACACAAAGUUUGUGAGCGUAGGAGAAUAAUAGGUCUCUUCUCAAAGCAAUUGAGGAGUCAAGGACUCCUAUCAUUGCAUUUUCUGAAAUUUUGCAUCCUCAACUUGGUGUUUGGACGGACCUUUCAAGAUCCUUCAAUGUACAGAGUUUUCAAAGAAAUGAAAAUUUUGGCAAUUUUUUAUAAGGUGAAUCACUCGGAACUACAAAAUUAGAGGGAAAAUUUGAUACUUCUCAUACUUCUGAGGGAUUCACCUUGUAAAAAAUUGGCCAAAAUUUUCGUCACUUUUGAAUGUUCUCUACAUUGUAGGAUCUUAAUAAGUUCAUCCGAACACCAUAUUAUGGAUGCAUAGUUUUCAGAAAAUACGAUGAUACAAGUUUUGAUUCCUCGAUUGCUUUGAGAAGCUUCGACAUAUUAGCAAAGGUUUGGUGAGCUGUGCUGCCCACGUAGUAAUGCUGGAGGAUGAACACACUGGGAAGAGAUAUCGGAGAUUAUGAACAUGGGGAAGAUAAUGACCUUCACAAUGUCUGUGUAUUAACAAGAUUUUGCAUUUUGUUUUGGUUUUUUUUUCCAGGUGUGAAGUUUGAAGCUUGCUGUUUGGUUCUACUUUUGUGUUUCUGUGUUGGCUAGCGCUUUUGUGUUGCCUCAUGUUGGAGAGAAGGAAAGAGGAAAAGUCACAAUUUACACUCAUGAAUUGAAAGUUGUAAUUAAGUUGCAUUUCGUUUCUUCUUUUGGUGAAAAAAACGAGAGUUCAUUUGCUAUAUAAAAACUCUAGUAUUUCUUUCUAUAAAUAGAAUAGGAUUAUACGAGAUUCCUCAUAAUAGUCAAUGUUGUAGGCAUAGCACCCACCUGGCCGAAGAGAGGAGACCAUUACUUUCGGGGGAAAAAAGACUCACAGUUACAUUAUCUAUAAAUAAAUAUACUUUCAACUUUCAAGAAGGGAGAAGGCUGAACUGUAUCUUCAACAAGGUUUCUGCUCACAUUUUCAUGAUUACAAGUUAGACAACAUGUACGGAAAUACAACGAAAAUAUGAAUUGUUGAAGGGAUUACAUGAAUUAACAGUUGAAUAUCAGAAUGCGCAACGAAUAAGACCAACAAAAUAGAAAGAAUAUUAUUAAAAGAAUGAGAAUGCCAAAACGGUUACAAAACCCUAAGAGGCUAUAUUAUGACUGACUUGUUAUUCUACGAGUUACAAAGCAUCAUAUAUAUAGAGAACUAAUCUAACCCUAAUAAGCAAGAAAACGAAACCCUAAUACUAACGGGCUAAGCCCAAAUUCAAACAAUAAAAUAAAUAACUAUUUUCCAACAUUAACGACACAAAAAGGAACUUGAGAAAAUGUAGAAACUUUCCACCAGGUUUGGUGAAAGCGUCUCUGAACCCACCGGCUACCCGGAUGUGUUCUUGCAGCAAAUAACCGGCGAUGAGAAGACAUUACAACAUCAAUCCAGUCGCCCCUCACAGUGUCCGCAGAUAAAUUAGGAGCAACCACUAGAAGAAGAAAUUGGGAGCAGCCUCUCCAUAAAUGGGGUAAGGCUAGCCGACAUUCACCUCUCCCAGACCCUGCGUAAAGCGGGAGCCUUGUACACUGGGUACGACGACCACUAGAAGAAGAAUCAACUCUCCCGGCAUUUCCAGCCAGUCUGGAGGUUAUAUAUCAUCAUAGUUAGUGGCCACAACCGUAAACAGAAUGGGAUUAGUAAGCAACAAUUUUUGUUUAGUUUGUCUGCUAAUCAACCCCAUCAGCUUUGUCAGUUGCUGCCAAUAUUCUCUGUUCUUUUGGUUCAAUUCACAUUGGAGGUGUGGUUCUAAAGCUUAUGUACCCACAGCAAAACAGACUCGGACAAUAGGAUGAUCCGGGAGCUAACUCGUUUCAAAAGACGAUCCAUCCCGAGCUACUAGAGCUUCAAUAUGUUGUAGUAACCCCAUUAAACAGGCGACAGCCUUGUUCAACUUGAGACACCAAGUGUAGUGAUACAACCCCGUUCAAACCCUAUCUCAGAGUUUCAGUAGAGUAGAACACCAAUAAUGUUCUUUUUUCGGUCAUGAACAAUGAUAUAUAAUUUGUACACACAAAACUGAGACAUUUAAUAGAGAAUACAAGCAAAUGUGUUAGUUUUGUGUAUACAAAUAACAUUGCCCCAAGAACAAAUAUUUGAACAAAAUCUAUUUUGCAACUACUAAAUUAAGAAAUGGCUCGUUUGCAGGAAAUACAAAAAUUAUGGUUUUGUUUUUGUUAUAGCAAUAGCUACGCUUUCUGUUGGUCGGUCAGCCAAAGAUUUUUCAUCAAUAAAUCCAAGCCAAACCAAUACCAAAAAGAAAAAAGAAAAAGUAAAGUAGGCGUAGAUUUUAAGGAAAACUAAUGAAAAUAGUUUGAAAACUGUGAGUUUUAAUGAUAAUUAUUUUGCAACUACUAAAUUAAGAAAUGGCUCGUUUGUAGGAAAUACAAGAAUUAUGGUUUUGUUUUUGUUAUAGCAAAAGCUGCGCUUUCUAUUGGUCGGUCAGCCAAAGAUUUUUCAUCAAUAAAUCCAAGCCAAAACCAAAAAGAAAAAAGAAAAAGUAAAGUAUGCAUAUAUUUUUUGGAAAACUAAUGAAAAUGGCUUGAAAACUUUGAGUUUUAAUGAUAAGGACAAAAUAAAUGGUAAAGUGAAUAGUACCAGGAUUGACUUUUUAGUAUAAAAAUGUGGUUUUUCGUUAAAGUGAACAGUACCGGGAGUUUUUCGUUAAAGAUCCCUAGAUUUUACAACUACUUUGGCUAAAGCUAGUAGGUAGGACUGUCUGACGAUCCUUGCCUUGCCUUGCCAAAGUUAGGUUUACCAUCUUCUGGUUUGGGAGUUUGAUUUGUUUUCCUGGUGAGAAUACACAUGAUAGGAUUUUUAGUACUUACGUAAACAAGGUUAAAAGCAUACAAAAUACUUGCAAGAGUACAAAUUUGUUGUAGUAUAUAUACUCAUGCAAGGUCGUUCUUCACAUGAAUUAUUUAAAUAAUCUAUGUAAAAUCAAUUCUUAAUUAAUUAAUUAAAACAAAAUUUUGGAAAAUUUGAUUUUGGAAUUUUAGAUACUAAAAACGAAUUUUAAAUAACGUAUAUUUAACAUGCAAUAUGUCUAUGAUAUUCUGAUCAAAUGUAAACAUGCAAGACUCAUUAAGUUAUGUGAAAACCCUUCAAAAAACCAUGCAACACCUAAGAGCGUGAUAUUCGUCUUACGUGAAAUUACAAUUAUUGACCACAAGAAGCAAAUACCCAAUCCUCCGUUGAUAUUUCGACUGAAUUGCAUCCAAUUACUUACCUAAAUGGUGAUCAAACAUUAAUACAUAGAGACAAUUUAAACACAGUGAUUAAUAAUUCAAAGUAUACAUGCAUAAUAUCAUAAAUAAUUCAAAGUAUUCAUGGCCUCGCUCUAGCAAAAAUGGAUUAGUUACACAUAUUCAUAAUUAAAAUCAAAGAAAAUAUUAUUAUGAAAAAAAAGAUUGAAAACACCUUAGAGUAAAAGUCUGAAAUUUUCCAAGAACCUUAGCCAAUUUCCUCUCUCCAAAGUCACAUAAAAGAGAAGAAGAAAAAGACUUGCCCAGAAAAAACUUGCCUUGCCAAAGACCUCUAUCGCUCUACAUAAGCUAUCCAAUAAUCCCCUAAUAAAAGUCUUUGGAUCCAAUUAGGACACCAAAUAAUAAUAAAAUAUAUUAGAAAAUAAAGCCCGAAUUAAGCUAUUAGAAUAUGAAAGGAAAUUGUCCAGCCACGUUUUAUGUGACAGUCUGUCCCGAACGUAUAUAUUAUUCAUCCUUGAGAACGUGGAAAUUUCUAUUAUACCCUUUUUAUUAUUGAGUUGUGUGUGUAUAAACUAGGGUUUUGGACCAAUAGGUUCUAUUCCUUAUUAUUUGGACCUAAUUAGAACAAAAGGCCUAAGGUUUUGGUUGAUUGACUGCAACUGGACCACACACGCAUACCCUCAUCUUAUCCCGUUGACCUUUCUCUCUCAUCCCUCUUGCAUUUUCUUCCAUGUUCGUACAAUUGUACGGACAAACCUUGAACCUUCACUUCUGUCCUCAGAUCGAACCAAUGGAGACCAUAUUCAAGUUCCUUGCGAGCCCAGGAACCCAGUGAUACGAACGUGAAGAUCUCAUUUUCCCGAGAACCUGAGAACCCAGUUUUGGGUUACUGUUCAUUCACUCGUGAUUUCGAAGCUUUUAGGAGAUUUUAAGCUACUAGUGAGCUUUAGGACGUCUUCACGAAGUUCGGAGAAGAAAAACGAAGUUUUUUGGACGUCAGGAAGUUGAGUUUAUCAAGUUUCAAGUUUGGCCGGAUUAUCGAAGUUUCUCCGGCGAGAUUCCGUUGGUCUUAGGUCCCCAAAGUGGUAAGGUUUUGUUCCUCUCAUCCUAAGCUUUAAUUUGGUAUAGAUUUCGUGGAUUUUGGUUGAAAAUCGAAAAAGAUAUGAAGGUUUGAGUAUUUUUCCAGAAACCGGCACCCGCGACGAUCUCGGACGAUUCAAGGAAGACGAAGGGGAAUAUUCCGUCAAGUCUGACAGAAUAUUCUAAUGGUGUCAGGUAACGCCGUUAAUUUCUGUUAAGGUUUUAACGGAAUAUUCCUAUCAGCAGUUAAGUUUUAGUUAGGGUUUGGCCGUACGUAGGGGUGCGUGGGUGGUUGGAAAAUUUUUCUAAAAAUUUGGGGAUGUUCCUGAGGUUGAGUAGAUCAUGGUGGUAUAUUCAAAUACCGAAUUUGAGUUAUUUAAGAGAAGUUAUUUCCUAAUUUUGUGUAUAUGCUUUAAAUAACGUUUAUUCAGUUAUUUCGCAUAUAGGUGAAACCUAUCCUGAGGACGAGCGCUAUCAAUUGAGGCUCAGGGGCUACGACCUUUCGACAUAUCAGUGAGUGGGCUUUUGGUUUUCCGUAUAUACCUAUAUACUUGAGAUUUUUCCCAGAAAAUGAAUUUGAAUGAUUAUACGUUUUUGAAAUGCCAUGCAAAGUAUCUGCCUGUUUUAUUUAUGCAUUAGUAGUUGCAUAUAAUUAUGAUUGGUGCUGCGAACGCACAAGUAAGUGCUAGAUAAGUUCAUAAAUUAAAGAUUUGAGGUUACUUCAGUUAUGUGAGAUAUAAUGUGAUGUAUUGAUAGCUUAUAAACUUGCACCCCAGUGUUAGUGCUUCCGUCCAGAGUUAGGGCACAGUCAUUCACGUGAUGUUCACCUCCCGCACCAUAUGCUCACCUUGGAUUCAAGUUAGGUGCACAUGCUUGUCAUACAUACCACUUUAGGUGGUUCCGACUCGUAGGUGACCCGCGAUUAUUUGCACAACCUUCACGUGAUUGUAGCACUAAAUCAUAUUUAUUUUACACAUAGUCCUGUCGUACAUACCACUUUAGGUGGUUCUGACUCAUGUGCAGGAUUUGAUUUGAUUUUGAUCUGAUUGAGAUUGGUUAUGAGCUAUAUACUCAGCCGUGCAGAUUGAGUUAGAGGGAUUUAGAUGAUGCUAUAUUUGACAUUGAUAUAUUUUGCCUGGAUUACUUAUGGCAUUGCAUUGAGAUACUUUGACAUGGUAUACUUCUAUGGAUUUUCAUCUUGAGUAUGAUUUCUGAUAGAGCUUAUUAAUAUUAUUAUUAUUAUUAUUAUUAUUAUUUUCUAGGAAAUUAUACAGGUUUUACGGCGAGGGGUUAAAACUUUUGAGAAAUGAAACGAUUUUCAAAAGCUUUGUUUUUGCCCACUCACACUUUCUGUUUUGCGCCCCUCCAGGUUUUAGGUAGAAGUGCUUGGUGGAACAUGAGGAUUUCGACGAGGGUUCUGACAGAACAUCACAAUGUAGGAUCAUCUUUGGGUGUUGUAUAAUUAGUACUUGUCCUGCUUGACUGCAUCUAGGAUAUUUAUGCUUUGGUUGUGUAUUUCACAUUUAAUCUCGCACUAGCACUCUAUCUUAGCUAUUACUGCUAGUAGUUUGGUUUUUAUUCAUUCAUAUUUCCCUUAUAUCUUUAUUGCUUCCGCACUGUGCACAUGGCUACGUCACCCUCACGUGACGGCUAACAUGCCUCGAUCUAGGUCGGGGUAUGUUAUUUUAGCCCUUAAAGAUUGGAACAACUUGAACACAUCUUCAAAAGGGGCCGAAUCCGAAAUAGGCCAUCUUAGGCUCCAAAACUCGCAAUCAAGCCUAAAAUGUCACUUUUCCAGCACUACGUAUUGCUCCUUUAUUCUAUCGCUAGAAAAUAAUCGCUUGACGGAAAAAAAAUCUGAUAUUUUGAUACGAUCAAGCUAAGUGACUCACAAAUGUUCUCCAAUUGGGAUUACUCCAAAAUUCAUCCAUUUGAUCACGUUUUGCCCUUGAGGAAGUUGAAAGUCCUAUAUUGGAAAUACAAUUCAAAGAUCAAAAUUGUUCCAAAAUAAACUAAAAUUAGGGUAAAAUAUUUAAUAUAAUAUUGACUCAUCAAAUACCCCAACUUAGGUUUUUCCAUGUCCUCAAGCAAAAUAAGACUCAAACGAUCGCAAAAACUUAACAAACUAGACACUUAGUUAAAACUUAACUAAGACAAAAUUUCCACCUUCAAAUCGCAACCCAUAGAAAAUGUUAAAAACUAGAACAUCUUUUCAAAAGUUCCAAUGAAUCCCACCACAAAGUCUAAGCCAUUUAAAGCUACUUAGAAAAGAAUUCAUGAAUUUCAUUUGGCGUAAAGUGAACUAAUAGAUUUGAGGAGACUCGAUUAAAAUCCUUACAUGUCGUCCUCUUUAUUUAGUACUUUACACACUUGUAUAUUCAUUUUUUUUUUCGAAUUUUUUCAUAUAUAUAUUUUCAGUAACAGUAAUGGUCAUGCAAUGUCAGUUUACUUAAAUUUUCGAUCCAACCCAUGUAACGAGCUUUAGGUCAAUGACUCCCAAACCACCAGGGGCUUUAGGGUACUAGGUAUAGUACACCCCUAAAGACUUUUUAACUCGAGCUGAAAGGCUAUGAAAUCAACCACCCACCAUGUCCCAUGCCAAAACUUUACCGUUUGAUGCGAGAAUCACGAUUGAUUAGGCAAGACUGGCCUAGUUACUAAGCAAAGUCUCGGUGGAACAAUUAUUACAUUAUUUGUAACACAUACUAAACUUUACUUUAUUUCAAACAAAAAAUUAAAACAAAAAAUAACUUAGACGAAAAAUAAGUGCUUCAAUCUCACUUCUCAUAAACCAUGUUGGUGUGAUGUGCAAAUUUCAAAGUAUAACUCAUGAAUUAGUGUUUGAGCAAAAACAAAUAGAAAAAAGGACCCUGCUACGAGAUUAGUUUUCACCAUGUCUAUUUGUUCUAAUGUUUAAAAUAAGGGAACUUUAACGAAAAGCACCCGGUACUGUUUACUUUAACGAAAAACCACAUUUUUACACUAAAAAGUCAAUCCUGGUACUAUUCACUUUACCCUUUAUUUUGUCCUUAUCAUUAAACUCAAAGUUUUCAAGCCCUUUUCAUUAAUUUUCCUUUAAAAUAAACUAUGAAUAUUAACUAAAAAAGAAUGAAAAUCUUUUUAACCAACUAAAAAAUUAAAAAUUCUUAAAUUUACUUUCCCACCCCAAACUUAAUUCACGCAUUAUCCCCAAGUAAUAAAAGAGAUCAAAGAAAAGACAUUAAAAGAAGUUUAUAUAAAAAAAUAAAAAAUCUAACAACUUGACUGAAAUAAAGAAAAUAAAACAAAAAGAAAAAUAAAAAUAAACACAAAGGAAAGAUGGUACCUGGGCUAAAAAUGGAGUCCAAGAUGUGGAGAAAACAAUUGGGGCCUACUCGAGGGCAAUCCAACAAGAACCUUAGCAGCCCACAGAAGGAGAAAAGAAAUGGCUUGAAAAUAAUAGUCACACACCAUCAAGGAGAUUCGAGUAGCUUGCCAAUAGGUUAAUAUACACGGAUCCACUUGCACCAUUCCCACGUGUGAAGGAAACCUAGCAGCUGCCUAUUUAAGAAACUUUUAACACCUCGCCGUUUCCAGACAACCUCUCUCUCUAGAUUUUCCCUGCAAUCUCGAGCCCAGCGCCCAUUCCUACAAACCCUAGCUGCUUAGUGCAUCAAUACUUCGCUCCCAUUUCUCUCCCAGCCCUCUCUCUCUCUCCCCCUCUCUCUCCCAGCCCUCUCUCUCUCUCCCCUCUCUCUCUCCAACUCUUUGGCUAAAGCUAGUAGGUAGGAGCCACCACUAAGUUCUUAUGUGUGAGCGUAGGAGAAUAACAGGUCUCUUCUCAAAGCAAUUGAAGAGUCAAGGACUCCUAUCACUGCAUUUUCUGAAAAUAAUGCAUCUUCAACGUGGUGUUUGGAUGGACCUUUUAAGAUCCUACAAAAUUUUCAAGAAAAGAAAAUUUUGGUACUAUUUUUACAAGGUGAAUCACUCGGAAGUACAAAAUCAGAGGAAAUUUUUUGGUACUUCUCAUGGAUUGUAAGAUCUUAAUAAGUUCAUCCAAACACCAUAUUGAGGAUGCAUAGUUUUCAGAAAAUACAAUGAUACAAGUCUUUGAUUCUUCUCUUGGAAGCUCAUUGUCAUCUAUGAAGGUUUUCAUCCCCUUCUGAACCAAAUUUGCUAUACAAUUGGUCUGUAAGUUUUAGCGUGUAUUUCAUCUUAAGCUCCGAAAUGUAUCGUAUCGCCAUGAAUAGGUAAUAUACUGCAGGCUAAAAGAGUUGGGAAUGGCAUGCGUACUUGGCUUAUUGAUCCUCGAUUUUAUAUUAUAUAUCUAAUCAUGUUCUUAGUAUGUUUUGAUAAUUAUUUUAGUGAAAUUUUGAUAUUUAUUUUUAAUGUAGGACUUGUGAAUUUUUUGUUUUGUGAGCAAAAAAUGAUCAAACGGAUGAAUUUUGAAGUAAUUCACGGAUGUUUGUGAGUGCUUCAACUUGUUGUUUGUGUCGAAGUUUCAGAUUUUUCUAGGCAAGGAAAUAAGGAACUAGCGUGCGGUGCUGACAAAGAGGCGUUUUGAGUUUAUAGGGGCUUUUUGGCUUCCAAAAUAGUGUUAGGUCUUUCUGCAGAUAUGUUCAGGACAUCUAAAGCUUUAAAAAGAGCCAUCUGAGGCCUAUUUUGAAGCUGAUUUAGGGCCUGCACCUGGACGUGGUUGUUUGGUUGCUGGCAGAUUUUCCUUAUCAACUAGGGAUUUUGUUUCCUAGUUUCUCUUAAUUUGUUUUGUUUCCUAGUUUUUAGAAGACCGUUUUCUAAGAAGAAUUUAAAUUGUAGUAGUAUAAAUAAAGGGGCCGGCCUAGGAAUUCUCUACACAACUUAGGAUUGCCGAAGCUCUGACAAAUUGAAUACUUAAUUGUGGUUUCACUCUUUUUCUAUUUGAAUAAAAUUCCUUUAUGAAUAUGCAUAACUAACUCUCCUUUGUUAGGGCGAAGCCAUGAGCCUUAGCAUGAAUAUGUAGUCUUUAUUUAAUUGCUUAUGAUAUAAUUAUGCAUGUAUAUUUUGAAUUAAUAAUCAUUGUGUUUAAACUGUCUUUAUAUCAUAAUGCUUAGCUACCAUUAGAGUGUUUAGAUAAGUAAUCGGAUGCAAUUUCUAUUGUCAUGUCACUGUGAAUUUGAGGAAUUCUUCUUGUCAUUGAUAAUUGUAAGUGCACUUAGGGUGAAAGUCACAUCUUAAGGGUUGCAUGAUUUUUCAAAUGGUUUUGCACAAAGCGUAAUGAGUCAUUGCUUGUUUGAUAUAUGUUCUAUCUUGAAUGACACAAGUAGAAUAUACAUUAGGAAAACUUAACCUUCAAAGUUGCAUGCGUAAUUUUUAAGUUAUGAUUUUGUUUUUGCUAAAGUUAGGUUUACCACCUUCUGGUUUGGGAGUUUCAUUUGUCUUCCUUGUGAGAAUACAUGCCUCCACCAAUGUCUAUAUAGUGUGCAGUUGCAGAAAGAUGAGUGUGCGGGUGCAAAGCCAAGAGCUUGUGCCUGCCAACAUAGCACCAAAGAGUGCAGACAUGCAGAGAGAAGCUCUCCUAUCUGAUCAAGCCAUGACCAACACACACACAGUUGUCAAAUAAGUAAGGAUAUUCCGAAGAGAAGUCACCUAUCAUUACAAUUUUUUUUUAAAAUUAUGCAUCCUCAACGUGGUGUUUGGAUGUACUUGUUUAGAUCCUUAGAUUUACAAAAUUUUCAAAGAAAAAGAAAUUUUGGCAAAUUUGUUACAGGGUGAAUCAUUUGGAAGUACAAAAAAUCAGAGGGAAAUUUUUGGUAGUUCUGGUUUCACCUUCUGAGGGAUGCACCUUAUAUAAGUCAAUAGGAAAAAAAAUUUGUUGCUUUAAAUAUUCUUUACAUUGUACGAUCUUGGCAAAUUCAAUCCAAACACUAUCUUGAGGAUGCAUCAAGUUUUCAGAAAAUACAAUGAUACGAGUCUUUGAUUCCUCAAUUGCUUUUAGAUGGUGAUCUUUCUGCUCUUUUUGGAAGCUCAUUAUCAUCUAUAAAGGUUUUAAUCCCCUUCUGAACCAAAUUGCUAUACAUAAAGUUGUACCGUGUAUCUUCACCUUAAAGCUCAAAAAUGCAUCGUAUCGCUAUGGCUAGGUAACAUACUCCAUAUUCUUUGGUGUUGUGGUGAUAACUUACUGCAGGCUGAAAGAGCUGGAAAUGGCAUGCGUACUCAACUCAUCAACGACUCUCUUCUUGUACGAACAUGUGGAGGCUCUUCCUUAACUGGAGUCCUAUAUUCCUGCGAAGCAGUUUCCUGCUACCUUUGACGUGAACGCAACACUCAAAGGACAAGGUUAAAAAACAAUUGCUAGUUCAGUGUCGGUUCGAAGGAACGAAGGUGAUUUUUGCCUUGCCUUGUAAUAAAGUUGAAAAGCGUUGGAAGGGUGAUUGGUUGUGCCCAUACUUUUUCUUUUGUGGACUUACCUUCAUGUAUAAGCAGUAUGUUCAUUGAUACGCACAUUUAUAAUUGUAAUCUAUUUGUCCACAUGCUUAGUUCGAGCAUCGAAAACAGGAUGAAAAGAAGAGGGUUGUCCCUUUUAUGUGUGUGCCGUGUUAGUUUUGAGCGUAUUAGCAAAGGUUUGGCAAGCUGUGCUGUCCACGUAGUAAUGCCACAGGAUGAACACACUGGGAAGAGACAUUGGACAUUAUGAAUGUAUGAAUUACAUGCACGCAAACACAAGAAGUAAGAAAGAUGAACCGCAUCUUCAACAAGGUUUCAGCUCACAUUUUCAUGAUUACAAACAAUACGACAUGCACGCAAAUACAACGAAGGUAUGAAUACAUGAAUUAACGACACAAAAAGGAACUUCAGAAAAUGUAGAAACGCAAAAACACUCCAAAUGAAGCAUGAUGGCAAGCAUGGCAGUGAAAGUCUCUAUAAGAUAUAAAGUACAAUGGCCCAAACAGGGUAGACGAACAGAAUGAUUAUGCCAACAGUGUUCGAUAUUCCACCAGCUUUGGUGAAAGCGUCUCUGAACCCACCAGCUGCCCGGAUGUGUUCUUGCAGCAAAUAACCGGCGAUGAGAAGGCAUAUUACAACACCAAUC